rnacentral:lncRNA from 1 species
AAACACAUUACCUCGAGGGGUGACGACCAGUAAAUGGAAAAUAAAUAUCCCUUAAAGGUAGGAAUAAAAACCACCAGAUGGGCAAUAAGGAUUCCUUGCGUAAGAAAAUGAGAAAUCUUAAAUUGAGACUAUAGAUUGGUAAAACCACUAAGACAAUAAGACAAAAAUAUAGGGAUAAGGCAAAAAUAUAGGGAUAAGGCUUAGCAAUAGAAAGAACUAUUGAAGAAGUUACUUACAACCACCAAACGGGAAAAAGUAUGCACAAAACCCCCACUCCUAAAAACAUGCUCCACUCACUUUUCAAAAGGUAUUUAAAGAGGAAACAAGGAUAGAGAGAGAUAUGAAAACAUGUCACCCUAGGGUUUCAAUUAGGAUAGUAGUGUCACCACCCCAUGACCUCCUAAAAUACAAGAGAUGGAAUCAUAAGUGCCAUGCAUCACUUCAUUCCCAUGAAGGAAAAAGUCUACUGCUAGUCAACAACUCUCCACAUUCUCCAAAAUAAAAAGAAUCAUUCACCUAAAGAUGUGGUAUAAUAUAAAUACUCAAUUACUUUCUCAAAGAGAGGUGACUUCACUAAAACUCCGAUUUUAUCAUUUAACUUGAAUUCUAUAGUCAUUGAAUUAAGCAUUGGAGUGGAUUGCUGGAAACCCCUUUUUCAACCCCAUUUCACUAUUGUUUGUUUGUUAUUGUAUGUGCAAGCAUACCAUUGUCUGUUGCACUUGGUUUAACCUAGGCAAAAAAAAUUAGGUAUCAACAUUUGGUGCUAGAAGGAAGGCUUCUACCAACAUAGUUGUUGAUUAUGAUGGUGCGAUAAAAGUCACAUCAAUCGUCAAUUUCACCACAGUUAUUCUCCUCUGACUAACUUAUCUUCUGAGACACAAGUCGUUUUAAAAUUCACCAACUUCCAACAAGGCUAAAAAGGAGAGAUUGUUAAUCUAAAGGGCUGGAAAGCAUCCUUUCUUAGACAAACUCUAUAGUACAAAAACGUGGAAAAUAAACAUCAAACUGGAAAAAGCAAAAGCUCAAAGACAACAUGGGAUUUCAACAAAAAUAUCUAGGAAAGCAAAAGGCACACCUGCAACUACCCAAGAGCAUAUGACUUGGCAACCCUAACUUCAAUGGGGGAACAAAAGUACACCAACCAUGAAACUUUGGCACAUGGCCAAGCUUUCCCAUGGAAAGCUAAGUAUAGCGACCACUUUAGUGGUCUCCAGGUUUUACUUAAAACUACUAGAACUUAAAUUUUGAAAUUGAAGCAAGCCUAUGUAUUAGAGCUAAUAUGGAAGCACUAAAUAUGAAUCUCCAAGCGAGAUAAAGCAACGACAUAUUGACAUUUUGAUAAGUCCUGAAUAACUUAUUGAAUGUCCCUAAGAACAAGUGGGAUUAGGUCAUUUGACCUCACUAUAAGCAACAGGCUCAAAGGAAAGAAUGGAUUCGUGAAAUGAAUAGAACUUGCACGAUUAGAAGAUAUGAGACACUAGGUGAAUACAAAUCACCUUUCAUCGAAGAUGAAGCAGAAAUCCUCAUACUACAUAAGAUAGGAAAAUUUGGCAUGGAAUCGUACAAACCAGGGGAGAAGUUAUCAAAGGCUAUCAGAGCCAAACUCUAGUCAUUAUUAAAACAUGCUUCAUGCAACAAGCAGUGUUGAACACUCCACAAGAACGAACCAUGUAUAUGAAUAAAGAACAAGCCAUAUUUCAAGCAGCUUUCAUACAUGCAAGCCCUAUAGAAAAAGAGAGACAAAUCCAACAAGAAACUUCAGUGUUUUUACCUUAAGAAAUAUAUCGAAACAUAAAUAAAACAAAAAGAAGCUUGGAAAUCAACACUUGGUCAACUGGUUCACAAGCCUAACUCAAGGACACACUAUUAAUCAAGGAAUUGCUAAAGAAGAGGAAUUAAACUAAAGAAACCAUCACUAAUUCACAAGAACACUUGAAAUGAGUACACGUGCGUAAAUGUAUGCACUUUAUUUAUAUAUAUAAUAUACACUAAAAUGCUUGCCACUUGUAUUAUAUAGCUUCUAGUCAGAAAAUUUCAUUGCAAAAGAGUAUUAAUCUUUUGAUUAAAAUUUUAAGAUCUCCAAUUGACAUAUAUAUCAUUGCCGUUGUGCAUCUAUCACGAGACCAUUAAAGAAGGAACGUUAGAACUUUAUUUGUGCACCUAAAAGCAUGCUAACUCAUCUCGAUAUUAAUUAAGCUCAAUGUUAAGCAUCGAUUGAGGACAGAAAAAAAAAAAUAAAGUUAAGUAAGUAUGACGUUUGCUUAAUAGAAUGAUCUUCCACUAUUAAGGGGUGGAAAAAUCACAAGUACAAAUAACGUCCCUCAUCUAAGUAAAAGCCAGCAGGCUGCACUAUAAAGAUAAGAUACUUCCUAAUUAGAAAAAGGAAGAAUAAUAAAGAAACCAUAAAGCACAACUUUAUUUGUGGCAACGAAUAGUCAACUGGAGCAACCAUAGCAUGGAUGAGGUGGCGAAAAAGCUCUACCUAAAACUCAUAAUUGGAAUUACAUAAUAGCUACCUCCAUUACAAAACUAAACUAUGACAAACAAGAUUUAUAUAUCUCGUUAAGGGAAAUUCCAUCACUAAAUUUCAUCCUACCUAAAUUGUCAUGGUUCCCACCCUGCAGUAGGCCAGGCAAUGGGGAGGCUAUAUGAGAGCUAUUGCAAUAAAUCUUUCAUGACUCAUGGAUGGAACAAAAUUGAUGCGGAAAAACAUCGAUGCAAGAAAUGUUUCUAAGAAGGUGAUUUGGUGAUGACGCAUUUGCAGCGAAGUCAUUUUCCUGGUAUUCGCGCUAAAUUGGAGAAGCACAAUUAUGGAUCGUUUUGUAUGGCGCAGGAGAUUAAUGAUCAUGCUUAUGUGCUCCAGCUACCAACUAACUGGAAUAUCUCACAUAUUUAAUGUGGAAAUUUGUUCAAAUAUCAUCCAGAUGAUGAGGCGUUGUAUGAACCAAACUCGAGGAUGAAUUCUUUUCUAAGUGAAAGGGACUCAUAUAGGAUAGUUGCAUGUCACGAGCAAGAUACCUUUCGAAGGGAAUAACUUGGGCUACAAGUGUCCAUUUUAGGCGUAUAAUAUAUUUUUUCGAAACUUGCGACGAGAUGAAUCAAAUCAAUAUGGCAUGAAUCAAACCAAUAUGGCUUGUGCCUUUUUACCUCGUGCUUGACCCCGAAAAUCUAUUUCUUUCCUAGUCAUUUUUCAGUUUUAAGAUUUUUUCCUAUGUUUUGUCUUUUUUUUUUUUUAUAUCAAAUUUAAACACUGUUUGUUUUACUUUUUUAUUUGGAUUAGGAGAAAUUUAUUAUCAAUUAAUAUUUUGGAUUUUCUUAUUUUAAUAAAUUCAUGAUAUUUAGGAUUAUUAUAUAAAGUGACCCAAAACCGUAGUUUAUUGAUUUAGACUUAUUUAAUAAAACCUUGUUAUUUACUAACUUGUGUUUCAUCUAUCUUUCAACCUUUUACAUUUUCAUUUCGUCACAAUCAAUGCUAGAGUAGACACCAUGUCGCUUGCAACUGAUGUCUAUGCUUGCAACAUUAUGUAAAAGCCAACAAAUAGGUAAUUAAACUACAAGUAAAAAAAAUCAAGUAAUGUCCCAUAUUUUUUAUGGGGAAAAACGGUAAGAAAUAACUUAAUAAGUAAUCAUUAAUGCUUAUUUUUCUGGGGAAAUCAAUGGUGUCAAUGCAUUUUUCAAUAAUAGGAAGUUACUUUUGAAAAUGUAACAAUGUUUUCAAUAGCUUUAUUAAAUUCGUUAGAAAUGAAUGAUUAUUGGUGACCACACUAUUUUACAAUUGAUAAUAGAAGUUUAAUUUCGAUCAAAUAUAAAAUUGGAUGAAAAUAAGUAGUUAAAUUUUGAAAUGUUUGGCAGUAGGCAUUGGUGACACUAUUAUUUGCAAUGGCAAGAUUUUGGCAAUCGAAAAUACGGUAUCGUUUUUACUAAAUACCAAGGUAGUCACAAACGAGUAUUGCAAUUAAUAAGGUGGUAAAUUUUGAGUUAUGAACAUUUUCAACUUAUCAAACUUGUGGUAGAAAUAAAUUACUAUUUUCGAUGACUUUUAGCCAUUAUAAAAAAUACAUUAAUAUUUAUAGCUAUGCUAGAUAAUUUAUUGCUAAUAGUAUGAAAUUAAUAAGAAUAGUUUAGGUAGGGUAGGCAUUUGGAUCGGGUCAACCCGAAUUGAACCGAACCCAAAAUUUAUUUGGGUUUAGUUCAGUUUGGGUUGGCCCUUAAAAUCUGAACAGGUUCAAAAUUAGAACCCAAUCGAUUUUGAUUUCGGUUCGGGUUGAACCCAAACCGAAAUUGAAACCCAAUCAGAUUAGCAAUAAAUAAAUAAAUAAAUAAAAGAAAUUAUGUAUAUAUGUAUGAAAGGACAGAACGACAAUAUCAGAAGAUUAAACAAAAUUCCUAAAUCCUAAAUUCCUCUUCUGUUCCACGCCGCCUGCAGCAUCCACGAACAACCCCUUCUUCUGCUCAACACUGCCUGCAACAGCCACGCAGAACCCCUUCUUCUACUCCACGCCGCUUGCAGCAGCCACGGACAACCCUGAAUCGGCAAACCCAACGCACUAUAGAGCAUAGACACAGUGAAUCUUACUCACACAGCCACACGAAGCCACUGUUGUCAGUUACAUUCACGUGCACCGGGGUUGCAGCUUCUAGCCGUUCCUUGAGCUGCUGUCAAUUUCGUUCAAAUGCACCACUGUCAGUUUCGAUCUAGCUACUGUCGUCGCUGGCUCGUUGCCUUCUCCUCCAUUCGUUGUCGUUAGCCGCACAACGUGGUGACCUUCAGGUUAUGUUUGCGAUUUGGUGAUGAAUAAGACGGGGGAGAUUGUUAAUUUAAUUCAGUAAUGUUUUUUGGGAUCAUAUUGGCUAUUUUUAUUUUGGAACUUAAUCGGGCACAGUAGUGCAAGGACAUCCAGAGACUGUAAAUUGAAAAAUAAACAAUCAAGAGUUGUUGAAAUGUUGAGGAUGCAGUUGAUAUUUGUCUUAUUCUUCAUUGAUCUGUCCUGGGAUUUGAGAUUUUGGAACUAUAAGUGGCUGGUUACUAGUAAUUCAUAAAGAAUGGAACUGUUGUAACCCAAAUUGAACCCAAACCCGAAAUUGAGACCCGAAUUUUCAAAUCGAACCAAUUCGAAAUGUGAACCCAAACCAAACCGAACCAACAUAAUUUCGGUUCAGUUUGGUGUGGGUUCACGUUUUGAACUCGAAUAGGUUGAAUUCUCUAAUCCGAUCGGGUUGCAACCCGAACUGAAACCCGAACAACCCGAACUGAAACCUGAUUUGCCUACCCCUAAGUUUAGGGUGGAAACUUGCGCCAAUACUAUUAUUUUUAUUAGUAUUAAAAAUUAAAAAAAAAGUUUGAAAUUAAAAAGAAUAGUUUGGGGGAAAAGAUUACACCAAUACUAUUAUUUAUUAGUACUAAAUAUUUAAGAAAAUAUUCAAACGUAUUUUAUAGUAAAGUACUCUAAGAAAUAAUAUCAUAUGAUUGAUCCCUAUUAUCAAAUCAAUUUAGAGACUAAAUUUUUAUGAAAUUGUAUAGUGAAAUAUUUAAUAAUAAUUUUUUGUAUUAAAUUUCAUAAUUGGAUCAUGCUCUUCAUAGUUGAUAUUUGAAGAUAUUAUUUAGGAUAUUAGUCUAAGAAUGAUGAUACAAUUAAUUUCACCAUAUAAUGAUAAUUAGCUUAGAAUGAUCAUACAUAUAACUGCACUAUAUAAUAAGAAUUAUUGCAAGAAUUUAUUUAUAUAUCAUAACAUAAAUAAAUCAUUUUUUUAACUUAUUGAAUUUUAGUGAUAUUUUCUUUACUAUUCAAAAAUAAAAAUAUUUUAUUUGUCUAAUAGUUUUCUAAUUUUAUCUAAUCUAAUCUAACAUUUUUUUGUCGAAUAUUGAUCUCAUCUAAUAGUUUAAAAAGAUACAUUGUCAUCCAUCUUGUUUAUCUUUAUUAGCAAAAUUCUAGUACUUAUCAUCGCAAAACACACUUAAUUAGGCUAAAAUAUAUUAUUUAAUCAUUAAAUAGAAUUACAGUUUGGGUUAUACCCCACGUUCUCCAUUCUGUCUUUAACCCAUCUCUUGACGCCACCAUAAUCAUAGUAGAAUUCAUCUUCUCAUGUUCUAAAUUCUCCUCAUCUUUUUAUCUUCUCUCUUCAGAGUUAGCUUAUGUUUUAGUAUAUUAAAAUUCCCUCGUUUGGUAUGUUAGUUCGUAAAUUUGGAUAUAAAAACCAUUUGGCUUGAAUUACUGCAGCAUAUCAUUAAUGGAAAAACAAGAUGCAGAGAUGAAUUUCAAUAUUUGGCGUGAAAUGAAUAAAUUCUAACGGUUAAUUCAUUUUUCUUGUUUUGUUUAAUUCAUGCACUGCCUUGUAUCUUAGUUUUAUAUAUAUAUCGAAUUUCAUUCCAUCUAAAGUUUAUAUAUAUUCAUAUGCAGGGAAUUAAGAGCUCUCACCAAAUUUCCAUUGUACAAGAUUGAAAUGCGCACUCUGUCAAAUACUGAUGUUGGUUUUGUUUUUUAACAAUACCAAGUGUUGUAAUAUUCUUACGAAAUGUUUCAUAGUAGUAGUCUGAAUUGUAAAGCUUAGUGAAUAUGUAUAUUGUUGUACUCAAUUCAUGUACAUGUUGAAAUUAUUAAUAAAAUAAUGUUAGAAAAGAUUUUAGUAGAAUUUUUUUUAAAGUUUUUAGUAGAAUUUUUUUUUAAGUUUUACUACUCCUAUUUAUAGCGAACAACUCAAUUACAAAUUUACUUAUUUCGACUUAUAUGUAGUAUUUUCGAUUGCAACAUCAAUUAGAACAAUACGUUUUUCUAACUACAAGUUAGUUAGUUAGGCUAUUUUUUCCCCUCAAAAUUAACGUAUUUUCAAUGGUCAUAUUUAAUUGAAGUUGCUAUUACAAAAGCUACCGCUAUAGCGAAUCGAAAAUUGUAUUUUUGAUGGUGAAUUGUUAUUACAAAAGCUACUGCUAUAGCCAAUCGAAAAUAGUAUUUUUGAUGGCUUAAAGUGAUCAUAAAAAUUACUCAUUAGUUGUGGGUCCAUAUUAUUUCUGAUGUGCAUUUAUCAUUUUUCCAUGGCUAAUGUUGCUUGAAAAAAAGCAUAUUUACGUCAAUUAGUUGGAAAAAAAAGUAUUUCUACCCUAAAUAUUAUCGACGUCAAGCAACUGCCUACAACCGUUAAAAAAAACACAUUUACAGUGGUAUUUCCUUUGUUUUGACUGUAUUCAACAAUCACAAAAAAUAGUCUUUUUUUAUAGAAUAGUAAAAAUAAUUGCUAAAAUUGUAAAAAAAAAAAGAAUUAAAUGAAGUUAAUAAUAUUUAAAUCCAUAGAAGAUAGAUCGGUGCAGAGAAUCUAUUAUUACAUCAGUUGGAAGGACCAUAUUCAGCGGUGGAAGAUUUUUCAAAAGAGCUACUAAUGUGGUAUAGUUCUAACAUAUUCUGUGACCGUACAUGAUCUCGAUGUGAAUUAUUCGAAUUACUUAGCCCUCAAUCUAUUAGUAAACUAUCUCGUCAAAGAUUGAUGGAGAUGUUUUCUAUUAUAUUUGGCGCACUUUUAUCUCCCAGUACUUCAGUAGGAUUACGAUGGUUAUUUGUACUCGAUCUAAUAUGAUGUUGUACUCAGUGUAUUGUAUCGUAUUCUGUUUUGAAGAAAAUUCGGCAUGUAUGAAAAAAAUAAAAUCAAAUCAAACCAAUUAUGGUAUUUCACAACGUUGCAGUUCGUGCAGGUCCACAACAUGUUAGUGAAAUUUUAUUUAAGUUGUAUUAAUUAAGAUGUAUAUUGUGCGUUCUGUUUUCAUUCUUUCAAAUUUUUAGCUAUUCGAAGGGUUUUUAAUUUAAUAAUCCGCCUUGCUAGUCGGGGUUCCUUUUUUUUUUUUUUUUAAUGGCAUAUUGUGUGUAGUUAUAUACUUUCAUACAGACAAAUUAGAUGGAUAACUAAUUAUAAACAACUAAUAGCGAGAAUAAAUAAAAGCUAUUGCAAUGUUAUAUAAUUAUACCCAAAAUAAAAUAAAAUUAUAAAAUUGUUAUGAAAUAAUUAUAAUUUAUGUGGAUGUUCAUCAAAGCAUUCUUUUAUCUCCUCACAAGCAACUUUUCAUCUCUUAUAACUCCCAUUAUCUCCUUAAUUUAAGGGUUGUUGUCUCUCAUAAUUAUGAUGUAUUAUUUACUACUUUAUGGUUGUAUCACUAUAAAAGGAGAUUUUUACUCCUUAUUUGUAUAUAUUUGGAAGUGUGAAUAACACACAAGAGAUUGAAUAAAAUUCCUCUCUACACACAUUAUAUCUCUUAUUUGCUUUCUUUCUUUCUCUUGCUAUAUGAUUGUGCUCUUAAUUAAUAGAUUUUAUAACACGUUAUCAGCACGAGUCUCUAGCCACAAGAGAUCAAUUUUCAUCCUCUUUAAAAUAUGGUAAUAUCUCUUCUUUAAUCUUACUCAUAAAAGUAUGAAGUAACAAUCUUGAUUUUGCCUAAGAUGAUAUUUACAUUCGCAUAUGUAUUUUGAUAAUCUAGAAUAAUGCAUCAAUGAAUUCAUACUUUUAUAUCAUCAUUACUUAUAUUGUUAUUAUUUGACAUUUCUUAUUCUAAUAUUCAAUUGCUAUUAUAUAUUUUCCAUUCUUGAAAUUCAAAAAGUUCAUCCUGAAGUGUGAAUACUAUAAUAUACAGUGAAAGAAAAUUGAGAAUGCAUCCUUGGGGGAUUACAUUGCAUAUAAUGAAGAUUUUCUUUCAAAAUAGGUUCCUGAAGAACUAUUACAAAAUUAUGAUGUCAUUCAUCACCAUCUUGUUUAUGAAGGAUUGACUAUAUAAGUGUAUAUUUUACGUCCAUGAAGGACUACACAAAUAUUACGAGUUCAUGUUGUCGUGUAAGGCUAUAUACGAAUUUCCUUCUUAAUAUCUCAUAGAAGGAGUUAUAAAAUGAAGAGAUAAACAUGACAUAAUUGUUUCUUUGAAACUAUUUUAGAGGAAAAACAUGACAAUCAAAAGUGUUUGAGUAAAUGCAUUUAUGGUAUGAAUAAUUUCUUGACUUCAUUGGCUUGUUGCUUUAUUUUCAAUCAUCUAAACUUUUAAUGACAAAUUUUUGAAUACUUAUUUUAUAAUUUCUAAGAACAGUUUGAUAGAAUAAAAUAUAGGAAUGAGUUAUAAAUAAUAUAUAAGUGUAUUUGAUCUUUUUAAUUGAUCUAUAUGUUUUAUUGAAUUCUAGAUAAAUGAUUCUUCUAUUAUUGUCUUGAAUUACUAAAGUUUCAUUAAUAUUUACAUGUUUGAAAUCAUGAAUAGUUAUAAAAUAUUUUUGUGGAAUAAUUUAAUCCCUAAAGGAUUGUAAAAGGUUACGAUUUUCUUUUAUGAUCUUCUCUUUGAAGGAGCUAAAAAUUCAUAUAUAAGCUUGUCGAUAAUUUCAAAGGCUCAAUUAAUUCUCUCAUUUGAAAUUAUAUGGAGAGAAUAAUAUAAAAGGAAACAUAUUAUAGGGCACAUGAUUUUAUAGCACAAAUAUGCUCUUGUAGUAGCAAAUUAAGAGUACUAAUAUAAAUUGAUACUAUGUUUUGUUUUGUUAAAAAUAAAAUAUGAGCUUUUGAUUAAAAGAAAAUCAUGACUAAUUCAAAUCCUUAAUGGAUUCCUACUCUUUUGAGAGUAGUAAUGGAUGUCAUGAUUAUCAAAUAACUAUUCAAAAUUAUAAUGGUCAUAGGUCUUAUUGUCAGAAAUCAACAUGUGAAUAUUUUAUCACCAGAAGUGGUCUAAAAUUGAAUUAAUAUUGGAGACGGACCAGAAGUUCAAUCCAAAAUCUUCAAUAAUUUGACUUAGUAAAGUCUCUAUGCAAGCUUAAUAAUUUUCGUGAAAAUUCUCCUAUGAUUAGGGGGAGUAAAGUGAUAUACAUUUGAUAGACAAUAUAAUUUGUUUCACCUUUAUCCAAAUUUGAUCUUUACAUGAGUUAAUUUAUUUGAACUUGAAGUUCAACAAGAUUAUUGCGCAAUGCACAUUAUUGAUCAAUUAUUGAAUGAAUUUAUUGACAUGUGAAAGUGAAAAAUCACAAAUAAAAUAUAAUUGUUGGUUGAUAUGAUGUCCUUGAAGGAUGAAAUGGUGAGACAAAUAAAUCUGUGAAUGCUUGAAGCUUGUAGUAGAUCAAUCGGUGCAAAUGUUUAAUUCUUGGGAAGUUGAAGUUAAAUAAUUCAGUGCUCUUGAAGAGACUAUGUUUGCAUGUAUAGCAAAAUAUUUGAUCUAUAUUAAAUUAUUGAACAUAUUGCCCUUAGAGGAGCAUAAUGUACCAACUACAAGAUGAGUCUCAAAUACCCUUGAAGAGGUAAAUUGUGAGAAAUAAAGAGAGAUUCAUAUUGUCUUAUAAAAAAAACACGUGUGAAAAUUAAGAAAGAGAUAUCUUUAGCUCUUGCAGAGGCAUAUAUAUUAGAAGUUUUGAAAGAUCUCAUUGGGCAUACAUAUUGCAAAAUAAAAAGGUAUUUGAUCAAUAGUAUGUUGGUACUUGGUGCAAGAGAAAAAUUGGAAUUGACAUAAAAUUGUUGUCAGUAAAAGUUUAGUUAUCAUGAUAAAAUAUCCAGGAUCCUGAAUCACAAAAUUAUGAAAGAAUGUCAAUUUAUAUGAUUGGCGAAAAUUUGGACCUGUAGUCCAUAUGCCAGAAGAUGUAUAAUUAAUUAACAAGACAUAAAGAAUUUUGGACUUAUAGUCCAUACGCCUAAAGUCGUAAAAAUUAUUGAUAAAAUAUGAAUAUGAACUAUAGUGUGUCAAAAUCAAAUUGAAGAAUCUAUGCAUUUAUCCUUGAAGGAUAACUAAAAGUACUAAAUGAAAAAGCUUGCAGUUUAUAUGUUCUUGAUAAAGCUAUAAUUAUAGUUGUGUAUAUUAUAGCAAUAUAAACUUACAAAAGUACAAUCACUUGAGUGAAUUUAUUAUAAGUGGGAUAUGUCAUUAUCUACUUUGCUAUGUAAUUGAAAAUUAAAUUUGCAAUCUUUGCACAGUGUGUUGAUGAUUUCAUCAUGAAAAGACUCUUGAAGAGGUUAUCAACUUAUUUCUUUUAAGAAUACAAUUCAAGAUUAAAGAUCUUGCAAUAAAAGAAUUCUCUCAAUUUAUGAAUUGAAGUUUAUGAAGUAGAAUGUUGAUGUAUAGAAAUACUAGAAGUAUUUCAUAUUCAAAAUUAUUCUACUUUAAAAUAUGUUGUAUAUGUUUUGGUCCCGAAGAACCAUACUUUACUCAAAAUUGUGCUUAUAAAGACAUUAGAAAGUUGCAUAAUUGCAAAUUAAAUUAUGCUUAGCAUAUACUUGAAAAUUUCAAAAUAGUGUGAAAAGUAUAUCACACUCUUUCCAUGAUAUGGAUGCAAAACUUUAGUUUUUUUUUUUAAAGAAAAUCAACAAGAUUAUGAAGAUAUAUUCAUAGCAAUAUUCUUCAAAUUCAAAAUGAUUGUAUCUAUAAUUUAUUACAUCUUUUCAAGCUUCGAAAGGAUGGUUUUGAUCCUGCAGAUUAUUUCACCAAAAUAUUGUUAAUUAUAAAAAAUUAUUGUUGAUAUUUGAAGCAUCCAUGUCAUUUUGAGGGGGUGCAUAUUUAUAUGGAGGACUACAUGCACUGUACUCUUUUUCUUUUACUAGGCUUUUGUCUCAUUGGGUUUUUCCUAGUAAGGUUUUAAUGAGGCAGUUUGCACCUUCAUAAAAUACAAAUGAAUAAUGUACUCUCUUUUUUUUUUUCUUUCCCAUAGGGUUUUUAUUAACAAAAGUUUUAAUGAGACAUAUUCUUUGAAAGAUGAACUUCCAAGGGAGAGUGUUAUGAAAUAAUAAUAAUUUAUGUGGAUGUUCAUCAAAUCAUUCUUUUAUCUCCUCACAAGCAACUUUUCAUCUCUUAUAACUCUCAUUAUCUCCUUAAUUUAAGGAUUGUUGUCUCUCAUAAGUAUUAUGUGUUGUAUCACUAUAAAAGGAGAUUUUUACUCCUUAUUUGUAUAUACUUGGAAGUGUGAAUAACACAUAAGAUUCCUCUCUACACACGUUAUAUCUCUUAUUUGCUUUCUUUCUUUCUCUUGCUAUAUGAUUGUGCUCUUAAUUAAUAGAUUUCAUAACAAAAAUUAUAUUCUUGUGAAGUGGCUGCCCACUCGUUUUAAUAUUGCAAUGUUGGCAAAUUUACAUGGUAUCCAAGAAAGAAAGUAAAAAUAAAUAAAAGAAAAGGAAUCGUUGUCUUUAGUAAAGCAGCAAGAGGCAGAAGAAAUGAAUGUCCUUCGUGGAGAAGAAAAUAGUUUGAAAGAAUAUUUACCAGCACCAUCUUAUGAUCUUUUCCAGAAAGAAAUAGUUUCAAUUGACUCUUUCAAAAAAUAUGGGAGGCAAAGGUACAUAGAGAGAAUAAAGAAAAGCUACGAUGCACUCAUAAGUGUUGGAGCAUAUCAAUGUUUAUUCAUUCUCUUAUUUAGAUUUCUAUCAUUUUCCUUCUUUAUCAUAUUCUUCUAAAGUGAAAGUUAUACAUUAAUAAAAUAUCAUGAAAAUAAUAUUUUUUAAUGACUUUAUAAUUUAGUAUCGAUAUUUAUAAUAAAAAGUUCACAUAAAUUUUUUAAAUUAGUUCCAUAGAGAUACAAUUUGAACAUCUAAACGUAAAGUUAGUUAGAUUUACUUUCGAAUAUUUGGGGAAAAAAAUCAACAAGAGGAAGAUAAAAUGUGGAUUCAUUACUAAAGUCUAAAGUUAUACUACAAGUAGAUUCAUUAUCAAGGCUAAUGGCUUAUUUAAAUUGACAACGCCAAGUUAGAAGAGAUCAAUAUGGCUUCGCAAAUUGAGGCGGUGAAUGAUUUGUUUGAAAAUGCCAUGAAAGGCCGAUGGAAUAAAGUUUUGGAGGCCUAUGAGAACCCCAUAAUUCAAGUGGCCAAAAUCACUAACUCAAAAGACUCAGCUUUUGCUUGGCUUAACGAUACUCUUCACAUCAAUUGCUGCUAUUUUGAUCUAUUGUGAUUUAGACCGAACCUAACGAGAUCAACCUCACCCCAAGAACACUUAACUCACAUAACUUGACCCAAGAACCAACCAAGAAUCAGUCAAUACAUUAAGGAUCAAGAAUAAGAAGCAGAUCAAGAACAAAACACACACGAAUUAAAGUGGUUCAGCACCAACUUAAUAAUGCCUACUUCCAUGGAAACAAGCUCCGUGAUUUCACUUUAUUGAUUCCAAGAGUUACAGAGAGCAUUAACAAUAAUGGAGAUUACAAGCCUAUUCAGAACUCUCUCUCACAUUCCCUUAUCAAUGUCCUCUCUCGAUUUCAGUCUGUUACAAAACCCAGAACUCCAGCCCUUUUAUCAACUGAUUCUGGAUCUAACUUCCUCAGCGGCUUUUCCUGCUAGUGUAACAGAAUUAUCCACCUCAAUCACGUGCUUGCAGCGUUUCUCUAAUAAGCAGGCUUGAAACGGCUUCUUACUUAGUCGUUUUAGGAGACUAAGCAUUUCCUUCAGCUCACGUGUCAUACAUGUGAGCUACUUAUAACACAUACCGACAUUUUGGCUCAUGUCGGUUUCGUUCCAAACCCUUGUCAGACGACAUUUCGUGCUAACACAUAAUCAACAUAUAACAUGUCGGGACUGAGUAUUCAGUUCACAUUUCACAAUCUCCACCUUGAACUCAAUACGUCAAGUUACUCCACAGUGCUUUCUUCCUCAUGAUUUGCAGCGUCAGUUUCUACAAAUCCUUGCUAAAUUCAUGCAUAGAUUGAACUUAGCAGAGGGUACUGCCUUGGUUAGCAUGUCAACUGGAUUCUCCUUUGUAUUUAUCUUUAGAAGCUUUACAACUCCUCUGGAAACUUCAAGCCUUAGAAAAUAGAGCUUCACAUCAAUAUGUUUAGUUUUCUCAUGGUGUGUCUGGUUUUUGCUGAGGUGAAUUACACUUUGACUAUCACAAUAAACUUCAACUGAGUCUUGCUAAGCUCCAAGUUCAGUAACCAUUCCCUUCAGCCAAAUGGCUUCCUUGAGAGCUUUUUUUAUUUAUUAAGAAAAUGCAAUCAUAAUAAUUUAUUUAAACAAAGGUAUGUUCGACAUUUAAGAGGGUUUGUAUAGUAAAUUUUUAAUUUUUAAAUUUUAGUGUGGGUGAGUUUAGCAAAUGAGUGGACAAAGUAUUCUGGUGGGUUCAAAUAACCCACCCUUACUUUUAUUCUAAUAUUCAUUCUGUCCUUGUAUGGAAUUACUGAAAAGGAACAAAUUUCCCGAAUUUACAACUACUGCUCUAUCAUUCACCUGGCGCUGUGGACGAAUUCAUUCGUUCCCUACCCUGCGAAUUUGUUCACUAUCAACAAGACUCCAGUGAGGUUGUGGUGUUUUAUUAUUAUUAUUAUUACUACGGCGGUUUUGGCUUUUUACAAAAAUUUUAAAACACUUUCGUAAUAUCUUCGGUAAAAAAUUAACAUAAGAACAUAGAUAUUAUAAGCAUUUAUUUGAACGAAUUAUGAAUUUCAUAUAUAUGUGUAUGUGUGUACACGUGCGCACGUGUAUAAAACAAUAGUGUGUGGGAUUAAAUAGGGUACAUAAAGAGAGAAAAUAAUUUAACUCUUUUAGUAGGAUUUAUUGAUAAGUGAGGAUUGGUGGGAUACACCGCUAGUGAGUUGCAAGGGAUAACUUCUAGUAUUAUUUUUGCUCACUUCUCUUCCAAACUUGUCCACCUUCCAUGGUUCAUUGUCACAUUGUCCAAUAGAAUAUAGCAAUUUGAAACCCACACAAUGUGCUUGAAAUAUUGAUAUUAAUAAUAAUUUUGAUUUGAAGUUUUGAACGUGUUUGCUAAUGGAGAGAGAAACAAAGUAAAUAAAGAGAGAGAAUAAUUCCUUGGGUAAAAGCACUAAAGUAGAGGUAAUAUGGGAAUUAGAUGGGGUACAUAGAAAGAGAAUUUAUUUUAAAAUUUUUGGUAGAACUUAUUGAUUAGUAGGGAUUGGUGAGAUAAAUUCAGAGGUCAAAUAUUACUAUUCACCAGUGAAUUGCAGGGGAUUCCUUCUCUAGUAUUAUUUUUCCUUCUCCACUUCUCUUCAGAAAUUGUCCGUUCUUCGUAGUAUAUUGUCACGGAAAAUUCCAUGAUACCAUCAUUAAAAUUAUGGCAUCAAUACCAUAAUAAACAUAAAUUUUAUAAAUUACACAUAAGAUUAAUAAAUAAAAUAUAAAAUAAGUAAAUUAAAAUAAGAGUGGUAAAUUAGUUUUUUAAAAUUGCAAAGAAAACAAGCACUUAUAAAAAUAACACAAAACUUGUAAAUCAAUUUCAACUUUAAUUUAAAAAGUAGUUUAUUUAUUUAAUUAAAGAAAAAUAACUUAUCAAUUUAAAACAAAAAAUUUGUAUUGAAAGCAAUUGAAAUAAGUUUUAUUAAAUUAGUUUAACCAUAAAUUCUAUAUUCAUGCUAAGACAUUUAUAAUCCUUUUUUUUUUAAUUUCCUAUCAUAGUAUUUGUUUACUAUAGAAGUUAAUUAAACAAAAAUAUUUUUCUCGAUGUGGAACAAGCCAAAAUAAAAUUAAAAGACAUUCUUAUAUUACUAGACAUAUACGAAAUGUCAAUAAAAUUGGAUUUAACUCUUAGUUUUAUACAUAUUUAAUGUAAUUUCAAACUUUACUUCUUACUUAUACUAAAAGAUCAUUUGAGGUUACUAUCAAGAAGGGUUUGAAGGAUACAAAAUCAUUCAUCUUACAAACAAUUUUAAAAAAUAGGAAAAAGAAAAUUUUUUUAAAUUUUAUUUUAAGAAUAAGUUUUAUCCUUGAUAAAAUUUCUCACAAAUCCUCACAUCUAUUACAUAAACCCAAAAUUUUCAUUAUUUGGUUUAGAAAUAAAAAUAGUAAAUAUAUAAAAUAAUCAUUAUCAUAAUGAGUUUUUAUUUUACAUUUGUAAGUUUUUAUUGUUUUAAUAACUCUUAUAAUAUCUACUUGUUUUAUAUUUCAUUUACAAGUCUUCUAUUUCAUUUACAUAUUUUAUAUGUUAUUUGAUAUUUAAUGUUGAUUUACAAGUUUUAUGUUACAUCUGUAAGUUUAUAUUUUGUUUACCAAUAAUACAUCAUUUUAUCAUUGUUAUGUUAAUUUACUUAUUUUAUCUUCUAUUUACAGGUCUUAUGUUUUAUUACUUAAUUUAUAUUUUAUUUUACACUUAAUGUUGAUUUAUAAGUUUUAUGUUAUAUCGAUAAGUUUUUAUUUUAUUUACCAAUGAUAGAUGAUUAAUUUACUUAUUUUACCUGUUAUUUACAAGUCUUAUGUUUCAUUUAUAUCAUUUACGUUUUAUUUGCCAAUAACACAUUAGCUAACCAUUCUUAUGUUGAUUUACUUGUUUUAACUUUCAUUUAUAAGUCCUAUGUUCCAUUUGCACAAUUUAUAUUUUAGUUUACACUAAUUAUUGAUUUACAAGUUUUAUGUUACAUUUAUAAGUUUUUGUUUUGUUUACCGGUUGUUGAUACUUGAUUUUUCCUUAUCUGGGUAGAACCAAGUGCAACAGAUAGAGUUAUACCUGCACAUAUAGUAACAAAAAAAAAAGUUGAAAUGGGAUCGGAAAAGGGGUUUCCCGACGCUCUUACUCCAGUGCUUAAGCCAAUGAUUGGAUAAUUUGAAUUGAAUUAUAAAAUUAGAGUUAUGGUGAACUUAGCUCUUUUUUAGAGAGUAAUUGAGUACUUACACUACACCACACCACAUCUUUAGGCAUUCCUUUAUUUUGGUGAAUGUAGGGAGUUAUUAACUUGUAGUAGACUUUUUGUUCAUGAGAAUGAAGUGACGAGUGGUGGUUACAACUCCAUCUCCUCUAUUUUAAGAGAUCAUGGGGUGGUGGCUCAACUAGCUUAAUCUGACCCCUUGGGUGAUAAGUUCUCAUAUCGAUCUCCGCCCUUAUUUCCUCUUCAAGUACCUUUUGACAAGAGAGUGGAGUAUGGUUUUAGGAUUGGGGGUUCUGCCCCUACUUUUGUGUGCUCGGUGGUUUUAUAGUCAACUACUUUGAUUGUGUUUCAACAGUUCUUUCUACUGUCAAGUGUUAUCUCUAUAUUUUCGCCCUGUUGGCUCAGUGGUUUUGACCAACUCAUAGCCUAGAUCCAAAGUUCCUUGUUUCUUCCCUCAAGAGAUCUUUACUGUCCAUCUGGUGAUCCUUGUUCCCACCUUUGACGGAUCCUUAUUUACUUAAUUUAUGUUCUAUUUUACACUUAAUUAUUGAAUUAUAAGUUUUACGUUACAUCUGUAAGUUCAUGUUUUGUUUACUAAUAGCACACUAAUUUACUACUCGUAUGUUAAUUUAUUUAUUUUAUCUUCUAUUUACAAGUUUUAAAUUUCAUUUACAUAAUUUAUAUUUGUUUUAUAUUUUAUGUUGAUGUAUAAGUUUUAUAUUAAAUUUAUAUGUUUUAUAAUUUAUUUACAUAAUUUAUAUUUAAUUAUAAAAUUAAUGCUGUGAUUUUAAUGAUGACAUUAUAGAAUGAACGUUAUUGUCACAUUAUCUAAUAGAUCAUGCCAAUUUGAUGCCAAUUUGAAAGCCACACAAUGUUCUUGAAAUAUUAUAUUAACAACAAUAUUUUCGAUUUGAAAUUUACCACACGUCUCCCAAUAGUUAACUAUCACCUUUAAGAUCUGAGAAACAAAGGAAAAAAAGAGGGAGUAAUUGCCUUCGGUAAAAGCACCACAGUAGAAGUAACGAAUCACUUCAUGUUGAAGAGCAGUUGAGGAUAACUCAGCAGCAAAUUUUGACCUUUCCCAUUAAGAAAUAUCAAUGAUAUAGCGUUAAAAAAACAUUGGAGGCGUAGUUAUCUAGAGUGCCAAUGUAGAGAAAAGCAUAAAUGCAUUCCUAAGAUGUACCUUUGUUCUGUGUUAUAUAUUAUUUUUUAUACAUUUUAACUAAAUUGUCCUUCAGUUCUUAGGAUCAAUUGUUAAUAGAUUUUCUUCAUUAAAAAAAAAAAGGACACCGUAAUUUUCAAAAUUUACCUUUUUUUCCCUUCAUUCAUUAGGUCAUUUUCUUAUUCAUUCUUCACAAUCUAUCAUAGUGAAAGAGUUAGGGAUGAUAAAAUCUUCCAUGAGUUUGGGGUCUCAUGAGGCUUCACCCCAAAUAGGAUGAAUUUUAAAUAUUUUUUGCGGAAUGAGCGGGGAAUGGGAAAAAAAUAAUAUCUAAAUUCUUCAUAGAGUAGGGUUUGGUUUUGUACUCCACACCCCACCCCAACCCCAAUACCCAUUAUAUGUAAAUAUUUUUUCUAAUUUUUAUUUUAUCAAUUACAAUGUUAGUUAAUAAAUUUUCUUUUUAUUUUUACAUGAUAUAAAUGGGCUAUAAUUAAAAGAAAACCCUACAAUAUAAUUUUAUUUCAACCCUAAAAUAUUGUUAUGUUUUUUUUUCUCUCUUAAGAUGCUGCCCUCUUCAAACAUUUUUCAACUUUAAUAUCAUUUCAAGGUAUUAUUUCAAACAUUUAGAGAUUUUUUAAAAUAAUUUAAAUACUUUAUAAUAUGGUAAUAAUUUUAUUUAAUUCUUUAAUUUUUAAUUUAUUGAAAUCAUGUAUGUAUAUUUAUUAUAAAAUAAAUAAAUGCAGUCACCCAACUAAAUUUAUUAAAGAAUAAGGUGGAAUAAAGACGAAAUUUUUAAUAGAGUAAGGAGUGAGGUAAGAUUCUCCACCCCAGCCCCACGCCAUUGCCGUCCCUGCCUAAUUUUGAAAAAAAAGAAACGUUAACUCAGACGGGAUAUGAUAAUUAAGGAAUUGCUGGUCAUUACCAAAGUCUAAAGGAAUCCAUUGUACUUGUUCUAGCUGGCCAAACUUAUUUAAUGUUUGUUUUUCUUUGUCACUCUUACCCAAGUACAUGAGAUGCCCAAUGGUGGGAUGGUGCUAUAAACAAUGAAGUUAAAAAUUUGAGUCUUUAGUAAUAAAUUCUUUCCACUUUUCACUAAAAGGAAUUGUGGAGUAGGAGGAGAUCUUUCACUAGUAUGGUAGUAGCUAGAUUUCUGAACCAGACUCAGCAGAUUUUAAUUUUUCUAUAAAUACAUUUAUCUAGAGUUGCGGGAGACUUCAGAUUGUAACUAUAAAUAUAUGUUCUCUCCAAGCAAAAAUCUAUAAAUAUAGAGUUUCAGUAAAUUAUUGUCAUAUGUGAAUUUAUGACCAUUAAUAACCGAUCAUGAAGAGCACAAAUCGCUGUAUUAUAAAUCUAUGUAAAUAAAGUUUUAGUAUAUCUCAAAUUAUAAUACAUUUGUAGAUGGUAAUCAUUUAGAAUAUACAUAUAUAUAUUGUUGUGUUAUGAAGCAAAUCAGUUGAUGAAACGACCUGCUGAUGUCGCGUUUUGGAAAGCAACACUCUUCUUCACUAGAACGACAUGAAUGAAGGUCGUUUUGGUUUAAGUGAUGCACGAGAGAUUCACGUGCUCGAAUAAGUUGCUUUCAAGAUUGUUAGAGUCAGUUAUUUCACAUGCCAAUCGCGUGGUUUCUGGGUUCAUUUCUGAUUAGUUAACAAGUUGUUAUAAACAGCGGAUUCUAGUAACAGCAGAGAGGGUGUGUGAGAGAGCUAUUGUGAGUUGAGAAGAUUAACGAGAAAGCUUCUUGAAAGACUCUGUAAUUAGUUUGAUAAAUUCUCUGUAGUUGUCUUUGAACAAUCAAUAAAUUUGGUUCCGUUUCUCCCAUGGAUGUAAGCUGGAUUGAAGCUAGCUAAACCACGUUAUUUCUCUUGUUCUUAUUCUAAGUCCUUAUAGUUCUAGUUCUUUGUUUUUCUUCUGGAUUAGUUCUUGGUGCAUCUUGAUUGUGUGAUUUGCGAUCUUGGGAAGUGCUUCGAGUUGAUUGUACAAUAAUCUGUCACUCAAAAACACUACAUAUAUAUAUAUAAUUAUUUACAAAAAGAAUAUAUUUAUAGAUGGUCAUGAAAAUGAUUGAGGAAGACAUACUGAAGCUCAGCAUCAGGAAUACCAAUUGACAAGAGAUAAAGAAAAAAGGAAAGUAAAAGCACCACUCAUACAUGGAUAUGCAAAUCUGAUAGCCUAUGCAUUGACAGUAUCUCACCAAAUUGAUGAUAAUGAACCCAAGAACUACAAGGAGGCUAUCCAAGGUCCAUACAAAGAUAAAUGGAAAACGGCUAUGGAUGAAGAAAUCUACUCACUGAAGAAAAACAAUACAUAGGAGUUGGUUAAAAGACCUGUAAACAGCAGAACAGUAGGAUGUAAAUGGAUCUACAGAGUCAAAGAUGGAUUAACAGCUACUGAACCUAAAAGAUUCAAAGCUAGGUUAGUAGCUAAGGGUUACAUUCAGAGGGCUGGAGUGGAUUUCAAAGAGGUUUUCUCACCAAUAGUCAGGCAUACAUCAAUCAGAGUACUACUGGUUUUAACAGCUAUAAAAGACAUGGAGCUUGAUCAACUCGAUGUCAAGACAGCCUUUCUGCAUGGAAGAUUACAUGAGGAUAUCUUGAUGACACAGCCUGAAGGGUACACAAAUCCAGAAUCUGCUGACUGUGUGUGUCUGCUGAAGAGAUCACUGUAUGAACUAAAACAAUCACCCAGGUAGUGGUAUCUUAGAUUUGAUGAGUUUAUGGUCACUCAUGGAUAUCUAAGGUGCAGCUAUGAUGUAUGUUUUUACUACAAGAUAAUAAAAUCAGGAAACUACAUAUAUCUGAUGUUAUAUGUAGAUGAUAUGUUGAUUGCUUGUAGUGAAAGAGAAGAGAUUGAGGCCUUGAACCAGCUGCUCAAUUCAGAAUUCGAUAUGAAAGAUUUGGGUCCAGUUAAGAAGAUUUUGGGUAUGGAAAUAAUAAGGAACAAAAAGAAGGGCACUAUGAUUCUGUCACAAAGGAAGUAUCUAGAGAAGGUACUUGGAACUUUUGGAAUGACUAGCAGCAAGUCAAUAGUAACCCCUCUAGCAUCUCACUUUAAGCUGUCUUGUUCACAAUGUCCCAGUACAGAUGAAGAAAGAAGUGAAAUGACAAAAGUUCCUUAUGCAAAUGUUGUUGGUUGCAUGAUGUAUGCAAUGGUACUUACAAGACUAGACUUAGCUCAUGCUUUAAGUGUUGUAAGUAGGUUUAUGGCUACACUUAGAAAGGAACACUGGAAGGCCGUUAAAUGAGUGCUGAGGUAUUUGAAAGGUACACAAGAGUAUGGCCUGGUAUAUGGAAAAUCAGCUGGAAAGGUUACAGGUCUCUGUGGUUAUGUUGACUCAGACUUUGCUGGGGACUUAGAUAGGAGAAGAUCUCUAAUAGGUUAUCUGUUCUUCUUGGAUGGUUGCCUUGUUAACUGGAAGGCAAGUUUGCAGCAUGUUGUUGCCUUGUCAACAACAGAGGCUGAAUACACUGUUGCAACAGAAGCUGUCAAAGAGGCUCUGUGGCUGAGAGGGUUGAUAAUAGAACUGGGAAUGAAGUAGGAGACUGUUGAAGUUCAUUGUGACAGCUCAAGUGCAAUUUACUUGAGUAAGAACCCAGCCCAUCAUGAAAAAACUAAACACAUAGAUAUCAAAUUACAUUUCAUUAGAAAUGUAAUCUCGAAAGGUGUGAUUAGUAUGAUGAAAGUGCAUAUAGAAGAUAAUCCUACUGUCAUGGGGAUCAGUUUAUGCAUGCAUAGAUAUGAUACGAUAUAUGAGAUAUGAGAUGGCAUUUCCCUGUCUAACAGUUGUAGCUUCGGGGCAUGGUGGUUCCCUAAUUGCCCGUCUGUUGAGAUUCAGAUAUCAUGAGAUUAUUCUCCUGGGUACUUGUUUAGUGACAAAUUUCAUGAUUCAGAUGUUCAGAUUAUAGUGUAUCAUGACUUCUUUGAUUUUAUAUGAUAUUAUAUAUUAUGUUUAUGUGAUUGUAUGUUUUAUACUCAAAUAAGUUAUUUAAGUUCUUAUGAAAAUUUUGCUAAAAGGAUUUUUUGAAAUGAUAUAAUUAUUUUGAAGUAAAUUUAUUUUUCAAAAACUACUAUCCACUCAUUGAGCUCAUUAAGUUUUAUACUCACCUCGUUUUUAUUAUAUUUCCCCUAGCCCCCUCCCCUCUACGGGAAAUUUGUAGGUACAUCAGUCGACCCAGCAACGAUAGUUAGAUUGGAAAUUAUGGCCACGUGAUGGUGUUAGGAAUCACAAAUGUUUGUUAGGAUAUUUUGGAUUGCAUAAAUUAUUGCAUAUUCGUGAUUAAAGAUAAUAUAUUGUAUUUUUGACAUUAUACGUCUGGAGGAUAUUUGGUAUGGGAUUGAGGAAGUUGGUUGCGGAGGUUGAUUAAAUAUUGAAUUAUUUUUGGGAGUGUUAAUUUUAUAAAUUGCAGGUUUAGGAAAGUCAUAAUUGUAGAGGAGACUCUGCUGAAUUUUUGGUAGAAUUCUUAGAUAUUAGAUAAAUUAUCAAUUCCUUUGGACGAGAUUAGAUAUAUUCGCCCUGGCGAUUUGGGGAGGGGGGUCAUUUCACAUAUUUAAUUGACUUACCAAGUUUCUUGCUAUUAGGCUCUCAUGAGCUCGUGCUCGUGCUCUCAUGUAGCUAGGCUUAUUUGACUUACUAAGCUUCCUGCUACUGAGCUCUUGCUCUCCCAUGUUUUCAUGCUCCUGUGUUCUCAUGCUCUUACGUAGUUGUGCUUUUUUGACUUAUUAAGCUUCAUACUACGUACUAAGCUAUCACAUUUUCAUGCUUUCAUGCCCUCAUACUCUCAUAUAGCUAUGCUUAUUUGACUUGUUAAGUUUCCUAUUACUGAGCUCUCAUCCUAUCAUGCUCUCAUGUUGCUAUGCUUAUUUGAUUUAUUAAGUUUCUUAUUACUGAACUUUCAAGCUCCCAUGUUUCCACGAUCGUAUGCGUUUGUGCUUAUUUGACUUAUUAAGCUUCCUACUACUGACGUAUCAUGCUUUCAUACAUUCACGUAGUUGUGCUUAUUGGAUUUAUAAGCUUCCUGCAACUAAGCUCUCAUGCUCUCAUGAAGUUGUGCUUAUUUGACUUAUUACGCUUCCUGCUACUGCGUUCUCAUGCUUUUGUACUCUCAUUCUCUCAUACUCUCAUGCUUAUCAUGCUCUCUUGUAGUUAUUUCACUUUUCACAUUUCUCAUGUAGUUGUGCUUAUUUGAUUUAUUACGCAUCCGGCUGCUGAGUUCUCAUGCUUUCGUACUCUCAUUCUACCAAUGCUCCCAUGUUUUCACGAUCUUAUGCGUUUGUGCUUAUUUGACUUAUUAAGCUCCCUACUACUGAGCUAUCAUGUUUUUAUACAUUCAUGUAGUUGUGCUUAUUGGAUUUAUAAGCUUCCUGCAACUAAGCUCUCAUGCUCUCAUGUAAUUGUGCUUAUUUGACUUAUUACAAUUCCUGCUACUGAGUUUUCAUGCUUUGGUACUCUCAUUCUCUCAUACUCUCAUGCUUAUCACGCUCUCUUGUAGUUAUUUCACUUUUCACAUUUCUCAUGUAGUUGUGCUUAUUUAAUUUAUUACGCAUCCGGCUGCUGAGUUCUCAUACUUUCAUACUCUCACUCUCUUAUGCUUUCAUGCGUAUCAUGCUCUCUUGUGCUUGUAAUUAUUUGACUUUUCACCUUUCUUAUUACAACAUGUAUAAUUAUCGAAAUAAAUGUUUGUCUUUAAAAAAAAAAUUUUAAGGCUGAAGACUUUGAAUUUUAAUACAAAUAUUGACGGGUCUAGUGUUUUAAAUUAUACUACUUGGCAUAAGUAUCCAAAUUUAAUGUCAUUAUUUUAUAAAAAGCAAAAUGAUUAAAUUGUUGAAAAUAUAUGAGAAAAAACGAUUUUUAAAGACCAAAACAAAAUCCAACCCUUCAUUAAAUAUGUCGGUUUGAACAAUGGAUCUAUCCAUUAAAAACUCGAUUAGAUAAGAUCGUUUUAUCGAUUAAUCUUAUAUUCUGUUAAUGUAUCGUAUAAACUUUUGUCAAGCCAAUGGUCAUAUAUGGAUUGCGAAACUCUAUAUGAAGAGCGGAAGUCCUGCCGAGUUCAAACUAAGUAAUUAGUUCCUUUGGUUUGCUUUGAUUAGGAAAAAAUAAAAAAUAAAAAGAAAGAAAAAAGUGCCCACUCAAGUUCCAGCAACGGUUUCCAGUUCAAUAGAAAAACCUGUUCGUCCCAAAUUGAAUGUCAUGUUUUUUUAUACAAAGUAAAAUGAUUAAAUUGUUGAAAAUAUAUGAGGAAAACGGUUUUAGUAAUGGAUCUAUGCUUUAAAAGCUCAACUCGAUAAGAUACAGACAAUCGUUUUAUUUUGUAAUUUUACAUUCUAUUAAUGUAUCGCAUGAAAUUUUGUCCAGCCAAAGGUUAUCUAUGAGAGAAAUUUUAUAAUACAUUAUAUAUAUAUAUAUUGUUUAACUAAGAAUAUAGAGGCAGGGACGAACAGAAAAUUUUUAAAAGGGUUUUGAGCCAUUUUUGGACACUUAGGUUUUAUUUAUCCUCACUACACUUGAUUUGCAAUGAAGUUGAUUGACAAAUUACCCUCAAGAUACAACAAACUCUGAACACUAUCUCUAGCAAUGAAACUAUAUUCGAUAACGGGUUAUGAAUCUGUAAUAGAAUCUGGGAUAUUUAUAAGAAGUUAAGUAUCUAUUCAUGAAGUAUUGAGUUUAUUCACAAAACAAUGCAACCUUCCAAACAAAUUAAGGCACCUUUUUAGAACAGAUACACCUCUUUAAAUAGACACUUUAGUGAGAAACAUUGCACCUUUCCAUCAUUUAAUUUGAUUAAUUUAUUUAAAAUAAACUAAUUAAUUAAUUACGAAGGAAUUAUAUUUCAAUCUCAAAGCUCUCAUUUUAGCGCCGCAGUGUGUCUCUCUUGGUGCUGCAGCACCAAUGUUCUCCCGUAUGUAUACUAAUAAAUAUUAUAAUCUCUUUUACAUUUUAAAUAAUCACUAAUUACAUUCUAUUUCUUUAAAAUAAAUGUACAAAUACCAUUGCAUCAUUCCCCUAUAUUGCAAGGACCAAUGAAAUUAAUGCUUAGCCUAGAUGAUGCUUAAAAAUAAAAUAAUAAUAAAUAAGAAUAAUCCUUUUACAAUCCAUAAAAAUCAUAUCCUUGAAAAUACAAAUAUAAAACGCAAACUGCAGCAGAAGAAUUUAAAAUUCAUGCCAAACCAUUUAAUUUCUCCAUUCAAGUUCUUCUCGACGCUCAUCACGAAUCAAUCCUGAUUUACGGAAACUGAAUCACAAUAAACUAUAAUGAGUACGAAACUCAGUAAGUAAACCAAUUUUGCAUAUACCAAAAUACAUACAUACAUAUAUAUAGUGCACAUGAAUGACGUGCCAUGAUAUUCGAAAACAACGUAAAACAAAUCAUCGAAAUCUCAUUCUGUCUUUCUCAAACUUUCACAAUCUCUUUCAAAUCACUUACUUGAGUUACCUUCAUUCAAUUACCGCUUAGUAGGACACUCUCUUAACUUUCAUAACUUUCAUACUCUUUGGGCUUCUCGCCAAUGCGUCCUUCGCCCACUUAUCUCAUAACUAUAUAAACAUCAACGGCAAAACGACGUCCCCGACGUCAGUGGUUAGUCGAAAAUGGUAGAGGAAAAGGUAAGGAACAAAACCCAAGUGCUGGCUUCACCGGAAACCGGCGAAAUCACGGCGAAUCGAGGCGGCGAUUCCGCGGAACUUCAAAGCUUUGAUCGGUGGCUUUCCGAUCGAUUUCCGGCGGCAAGGACGGCAUGGAUACGUUGCUCGUCUCUUAAGCUUCAAAUCGGUACCAACCUUGACCGGAACGGUGGCCGGAAAUGGGAGAACCGGCCAGGUCGCGCUCGCAGGUCGGGUUGGAUCCGGUUCGGUUUCUCUUCUCUCUUUCCUUUCUCUCUCUCUCUCUCUCUCAAUUUAUAUGGGUGGUCAACAGGGUCAAAAUCAGGUGUGGGGUAUUACAAACUCCCCCCCUACAAAGAAUUUCGUCCUCGAAAUUCACUUGUAGUCAUGCUCACAGAAUUUAAACCUCAAGAAUUACUUAUGAUCUAUAAAUCCUUAUAAAGAUCAAAACCAACCAUAUCACACUGUCACUGCGCUACUCUGAUACCUCAAAAAUAUAUCGUUCUUAGUAACAGAAUCACAAGUCCUAACGGUUUGGCAUAGACUUAAUUCUAAUCGUCCUUGAAAUAUAUUUCCCAAGCGAUGGCGAAUGUGACUUCCAUCCGCACAUUUUCAGUUGGGAAUGCUCUGAUACCAUUUGUAACGACCCGUCCCGACCUCCACAGGGCGAAUCUUACUGAUAGAUGUUUAAAAAUAAAAUAAUAAUAAAUAAGAAUAAUCCUUUUACAAUCCAUAAAAAUCAUAUCCUUGAAAAUACAAAUAUAAAACGCAAACUGCAGUGGAAGAAUUUAAAAUUCAUGCCAAACCAUCUAAUUUCUCCAUUUAAGUUCUUCUCGACGCUCAUCACGAAUCAAUCCUGAUUUACAGAAACUGAAUCACAAUAAAGUAUAAUGAGUACGAAACUCAGUAAGUAAACUAGUUUUGCAUAUACCAAAAUACAUACAUACAUAUAUAUAGUGCACAUGAAUGACGUGCCAUGAUAUUCGAAAACAUCGUAAAACAAAUCAUCGAAAUCUCAUUCUGUCUUUCUCAAACUUUCACAAUCUCUUUCAAAUCACUUACUUGAGCUACCUUCAUUCAAUUACCGCUUAGUAGGACACUCUCUUAACUUUUAUAACUUUCAUACUCUUUGGGCUUCUCGCCAAUGCGUCCUUCACCCACUUAUCUCAUAACUAUAUAAACAUCAACGGCAAAACGACGUCCCCGGCGUCAGUGGUUAGUCGGAAAUGGCAGAGGAAAAGGUAAGGAACAAAACCCAAGUGCUGGCUUCACCGGAAACCGGCGAAAUCACGGCGAAUCGAGGCGGCGAUUCCGCGGAACUUCAAAGCUUUGAUCGGUGGCUUUCCGAUCGAUUUCCAGCGGUAAGGACGGCAUGGAUACGUUGCUCGUCUCUCAAGCUUCAAAUCGGUACCAACCUUGACCGGAACGGUGGCCGGAAAUAGGAGAACCGGCCGGGUCGUGCUCGCAGGUCGGGUUGGAUCCGGUUCGGUUUCUCUUCUCUCUCUCUCUCUCAAUUUAUAUGGGUGGUCAACAGGGUCAAAAUCGGGUGUGGGGCAUUACAAACUCCCCCCCUUCAAAGAAUUUCGUCCUCGAAAUUCACUUGUAGUCAUGCUCACAGAAUUUAAACCUCAAGAAUUACUUGUGAUCUAUAAAUCCUUAUAAAGAUCAAAACCAACCAUAUCACACUGUCGCUGCGCUACUCUGAUACCUCAAAAAUAUAUCGUUCUUAGUAACAGAAUCACAAGUCCUAAUGGUUUGGCAUAGACUUAAUUCUAAUCAUCCUUGAAAUAUAUUUCCCAAGCGAUGGCGAAUGUGACUUCCAUCCGCACAUUUUCGGUUGGGAAUGCUCUGAUACCAUUUGUAACGACCCGCCCCGACCUCCACAGGGCAAAUCUUACUGAUAGAUGUUUAAAAAUAAAAUAAUAAUAAAUAAGAAUAAUCCUUUUACAAUCCAUAAAAAUCAUAUCCUUGAAAAUACAAAUAUAAAACGCAAACUGCAGCAGAAGAAUUUAAAAUUCAUGCCAAACCAUCUAAUUUCUCCAUUCAAGUUCUUCUCGACGCUCAUCACGAAUCAAUCCUGAUUUACGGAAACUGAAUCACAAUAAACUAUAAUGAGUACGAAACUCAGUAAGUAAACUAGUUUUGCAUAUACCAAAAUACAUACAUACAUAUAUAUAGUGCACAUGAAUGACGUGCCAUGAUAUUCGAAAACAUCGUAAAACAAAUCAUCGAAAUCUCAUUCUGUCUUUCUCAAACUUUCACAAUCUCUUUCAAAUCACUUACUUGAACUACUUUCAUUCAAUUACCGCUUAGUAGGACACUCUCUUAACUUUCAUAACUUUCAUACUCUUUGGGCUUCUCGCCAAUGCGUCCUUCGCCCACUUAUCUUAAAACUAUAUAAACAUCUAGAGUAUCCUCCACUAAGCCAGUAACUAAUUCAAGCAUCCAAGCUAAAACUAUAAAACAAUCUUUCUUUCUUCAAAUUUCGUUUGCUAAAAUCAACUUUCUCAUUUUACAGAAAAUAUAAUGCAUUUUUGUGCUCAUGCCAAUGAAAUAUUCACACAUACGUAUGCCCAUGUCCAUAAAUACACAUAACAACAUAUCAUAUCAACACAUCACAUAAACACAUGGGCAAAACAUAUAAAUCAAUAUUCGGACAUAUACAAAAAUAGGCUUUUCAAACAUGUCAAACAUAUAUAUUGUUUAUUGUGAUUCGUUUGGAAAUCUAAUUUACUUACCUCCUGGCAUCCUCGAGUAACAAAUGCAUAUCGUUAUCAUCGGCGUAAAAAUAAAUAAAAAUACUCUCAUAAGAAUAAAAUUAAACCAUAAUCAUAAACUCCAAUAUUCUCAAAUUCUCAAUAUAAUCACAUUCCAUACUUAACCUCAAAUAAUCUUAAUUUAAAUCAUAAAUCAUCAAAAUACUCAUAAUUCUUGAAAUUACGAAAUUACCCCCAAAUUUCAAAAUUACCAAAAUGCCCUUGAAUUCAAUAUUACCAAAAUACCCUCAUAUAUCAAAAUUACCAAAUUAACCUCAAAAUCAUAAAUUACCAACUUUAUCCUCAAUUUCAGCAAUUACUAAAAUACCCACAAAAUCUGAAAUUACAAAAUUGCCCUUAGACUGUGAAAUUGCCGAAAUACCCUUGCCGGUCAACGGUCACCGGAAUUUGGUCAACACUGGCCAGGAAGCUCAAAUCUUAAAGUGCUAAUCACGCUGAGUUCAAUGGUGGCGGUGAUGACCUCCCACGCGCGGUGAUGGCUCCGGAUUGAGCUCCCGAAGUCGUGAAACUGUCAACGGCCGAUCAAUGGCAAAACGACGUCCCCGGCGUCAGUGGUUAGUCAGAAAUGGCAGAGGAAAAGGUAAGGAACAAAACCCAAGUACUGGCUUCACCGGAAACCGGUGAAAUCACGGCGAAUCGAGGCGGCGAUUCCGCGGAACUUCAAAGCUUCGAUCGGUGGCUUUCCGAUCGAUUUCCGGCGGCAAGGACGGCAUGGAUACAUUGCUCGUCUCUCAAGCUUCAAAUCUGUACCAACCUUGACCGGAACGGUGGCCGGAAAUGGGAGAACCAGCCGGGUCGUGCUCGCGGGUCGGGUUGGAUCCGGUUCGGUUUCUCUUCUCUCUCUCUUCUCUUCUCUCUUUCCUUUCUCUCUCUCUCUCUCUCUCUCUCUCUCUCUCUCUCAAUUUAUAUGGGUGGUCAACAGGGUCAAAAUCGGGUGUGGGGUAUUACAUCGAACCUGUAACAAUAUAGCACUUAAUUACUGUAACUAACAUAAAUUGAACUUUCCGUUUACACGAAAAGCCAAUUCAAUAGGAGUUGCCUUGCAAUUUUAGGAAGUAUUUAAAUAAUUUGUCUAUUAUAUAUGUCAGCAUUACUCCAUCAGCUUACAACUAAUAAUCUGAAAGCUAUAUACAUGGAUACUUUCAACAAACCCUCUUAGCCACUUGGCCUUUAGUAUGAGUGGUGAACCACUACCCUCAAAGUUAAGCAUGAUUAUGAGGAUAGUGGUUCGAGUUUCUAUGGACUCAACAACUCUUAAGUAAUUAUAAUUGUGUGGAGUUAAUUUAUAAGUUUUUCUCCAUUGCGAAAUGCAAGUGAAGUAUAGACAUCCUUCGUCUGCGAGGGUUUUUUGUCUGGGCAUGUACUUCAUAGAAUUUAUGGUGCGUUUACUUGUCAGAUUGGGGAAUCGGAAUCUGGAAUCGAAAUGAUUGAUGCUGCUUACUUCGCAAAUAUGGAGCAUGAAUCAGAAUCGGAAUCGGAAUGGUGGGGCCCACCACUAUUUGGGAAUGGGGAAUGAGAGAUUGAUUCCCAUGGGGGGAGGUGGGAAUGAGUCUUCAAUUCCCGGGAUUGACCAUUUUGCCCUCCCCAAAAUUAAAAAUGCCCACUUUGUCCUCUUUUAUAAUUAAUUAAUAUAAUAUUAUAAUUAAUUAAUUAAUAUUAUUAACUAUAAUUAUUAAAAAUUAUAGUUCUUGAAUAAAUAAUCACAAUAAUUAAUAUAUUAUUAUUAUAGUUAAUUAAUUAAUUAUUACUAUUAAUUAAUAUAUUAACAUAUUAUUAAUAAUAAUUAAUAAUAAUAAUAAUUUUUGAAUAAAUAAUCACAAUAAUCAAUUUAUAUUUAUUAUUUUUAUUUUAAUUAAUGAAUUAAUGUACUAUUAUAAUAAUUAUUAAUAUAAUUAAUUUAUAUAUUAUUAUUAUUAAUGAAUUAAUAUAAUUAUUACUAUUAAUUAAUAAAUUAAUAUAUUAUUGUUUCUUGAAUAAAUAAUCACAAUAAUUAAUAUUAUUAUUAUUAAUUAAUUAAUAUACUAUUAUCAUAAUAAUUAUUAUAAUUAAUUCAUAGAUUAUUAUUAAUUAAAUAAUAGAUGUAUUACUACUAAUUAAUAUAUUAAUAUAUUAUUAACAAUAAUUAUUAAUAAUUAUAAUUUUUGAAGAAAUAAUCACAAUAAUUAAUAUAUUAUUUUAAUUAAGUGAUUAAUAUUAAUAUUAUUAGUUAAUAUAUUUUUAUAAUAAUUUUUAUUAUAGUUAUUAUAAUUAAUUAAAAAAAUUUACAAUUAAUUAAUAUAUAAGUUAAUAAUUAUUAUGACAAUAAUCCAUUAAGUACUUUUUAGUAAUUUGUUACAAUCUAAUUCAUUCCGAUUCCGAUUCCAAGACAAAGUAAACACAUUAAUGGCAAUCCAACUCAUUCCAAUUUCGAUUUCUACAGUUCAAGUAAACAACUUAUUUUGAUUCUCAUUCCCUAUUCCUAUUCCAGCCCAUUCUGAUUCCUACCCAUUCCGAUUCCAGCUCAUUCCAAUUCCAGUUUAAUAAACGCAACAUUAAUGUAAUGAUGUAAGUCCUAGGCGAAAUGCAAGUGGAGCAGAGACAUCUCUCGUCUGUGAGGGUUAUUUAUCUGGACAUGUACUUCAUAAAAUUUAAUGUAAUAAUGUGUGUCUCAAUUAUAUAUCUGAUUGUAAAUAUAAGUGUAAUGAUCUGUUGUAAUAACACUUAUAAAUAUAUGUGUAAUACAAUAUUCUAAUGUCAAUAUUCAAAAAAAAAAAAAACCCUCUUAGUGUUACCCACAUUUUUCUUGCUUCUUUGGUCUUCUUAAAAGAUGAAGUGAAAUAGACUAAAGACGAGGGUAAAUGUUCGUUUAGUCCUUAUAUUUUGUAUUAAAACUUGUUUAGUGUCUAUAUUUUGAAAAAUACAUAAUCCUUUUUUUUGAAUAUGUGAUAUUCAUGCCCUUAUUUUUUUUUUUUUUACUAUAACUCUUACUACAAUUUAAAAUAAUAUUUGAAGAUUUUAAUUAAGCCUCAAUGAUUCAUUUUUUUUAGUUUCAUCUUCAAAAUGAAUUAAAGAAUUUAUUUGAGAUAAGUCCUACAGAAAGUAAACUUUUAUAUUUAUAAUAUCAUUGGAGUUAUUAGAAACAGCCCCAAUAAAAUGUUUGGAUAAUUUACUAACCAGAAAUAGACUUUGGCUUUAAGAAUAACUAAAAUAUAUUUAUUUAGUUAAAAUAACUGAAAUAUUUUGCUUGGUAGGGGUAAUUAAAAUAAAUGUAAGUUAAAUAAUUAUGGCCUUCUUGGAAUAUUAUUAUUAUGAAAUUAAAAGAGAGAUAGGUUUUCAAAAUAAUUUACAGUCGUUAAGAUCCAUUGACUUUUUUAAUAUUAAAUUUAAUGAUCCCAAUGUAGGAUCACUACUGAGCACAUGACAAAGUACCAACGAAAGUGUUCCACUGCCUCAUCGUUUCUCUCUAUAAAUAGAGCAUUUGUGUCUUGAGGUUUUUGCAACUCCUAUUCUUAAAAACAAACUAUAUAGUUGUAUUUGGUUUGUCUGAAACGGAAUGAAAGAUAUGUCUAUUCCACUUCUAGCAGCAGUUUCCAGUUCAACUGAAGAAACUGUUCGUCCCAUAGCAGAUUUUCAUCCACUACUAGAAAAAUGAGUUUUACUGACACUAAUUUAGCGUCAGUAAUUACUUUUAUUGACACUUGUUAAUUGUGUCAGUGUUGCUCAAGCCAGAACACACUGACACUAAUUUUUAGUGUCAGUAAUUUUUGUGUCAGUAAUUUGUUUCACUAUAGUAUCACUAAAAUAAUGACACGAUGAUGUUGGUAUUUAAUGAUACUAUUUACAUGUCAGUGAUUUAUGUGACUAUAGUAUCAAUAAUAAGCUAGCUCGAUAAUAUAAAAAAUUAUUAAUGUCAAUUUAAAUAUUUAGUGUCAGUAUUUAAUAAUGUUAUGCAGGAUUGGUUAAUAAAUUUUUUUUAUUCUAAUUAUAUUUUUCCUGAAUGUUUUACAACCAAAAGAAAGCUCAAAAUAUAUUAAAUAUAUAAAAUGUCACAAUAUAAUUCACAUAAUAAACAUCCCAAAUACAUCACUCAAAUUCACAUGAUUCAACUACACCACUAUCUGGAAAAGAAAAAUAUAAGUACUAAAUUAAGUUUUCAACAACCACAAAGUACUAAUUUAGUUUCCACCAAAAAGAAGCACAAGAACAUCACUCAACAUCCAUCUGCAGCUUCAUUUUUUUCCCACCUACAACAACAUAAAAUCAAUUAGUAUGGAAAUAGAUUAUCGAAAACAAAUUGAUUGUGAGUAGUUAAACAGAGCAAUUGAAGGAUGUUUCAACAACUAAUAAAACAAUAAGAAAUAAGAUUACAAUAAUACUGAAAGUUAUAGAAAUAAAGAACCUUAGCUUAAGUUGUCUGAAGAAACCAUGUUGGAUAACCUGCUACAAGUCACAGAAAACAAAACAUCUAAGUCAAUCUAAUUAAAAACUUCCUAUUUUUUAUAAUCAAACAACAGAAAUCUGCAAUCAAAACAUCCAUUUGCCCACUCAAACUUUCAGCCUUAGCAUAAACUUCUUUCACUUUAAUCUCAUAAAACUUGUCAAAUUUAUGAAACUCUCAUCAAGCCUUCUAAAAAACUACCGCUCUCAUUCCCCUCCUUCCUCAACAAUCCUCAAAAGUAUUUUCAUUGCAAAAUAGCCCAAAAAAAUUAUAGGAGUUGUUUUGACUUUAGAAUAGCAACAAAACAGCCCCGGGAAAUCUGUAGGGGCUGUUGUGCAGUGAAAACAGCCACUAGAAAUUUACAGGGGCUGUCUUGUUGCUGUUCUAUAGUAGAAACAGCCCCUGCAAAUUAACACUUUCAAAUGAAUUAGAAAAGAAAAUAAUGUUACCUAUGAUAGUCAUCAUUGUUGAAGUCAUAGCAGAUAGCCUGCAAAUUAACAAUAAUAACAGCAUUUACAUCAGUUUAUGAAACUGCUUUUAUUGGUUUUUUUUUUUUGCAAGGAUAUGUAUAUAAAUAAUAGUGCAUUUAAACUUACAUAUAUAAUGCAUCUUAGACCAGCCAUUAAUGUGGUAUAGUUUUUGUAAAGUACCCUAUUUACCUCAGAAACUUCAUUUUCCUCUAUGCCAAGAUUUUGAAUUAUCUAUUAUACACAAAGUAAAUUUAUAGAAACUAGUUAUACAUUUGUUAAACAAAUAAACAACUUAAAUGACAAAAGUUUACUAACUGAAUAGAAAUGCACCAAGGUCAUUAUAAAUUGGCACUACUUACUGAAAUGAUCAACAACAUUGACACUAACACCUCAUACAUAAAUUCAGAUUUUAAGCGUAUAAAGAGAGUUCAAAUGAAUGAUUGCUUAUACAUUUUAUAACAGAUUUUACAACAAUAAAGUAGAUAAAUGGCAACUCUACUAGAGGUAUGUUUCUAGUAUAAGGAAUCAAGCAUAAGUAAAGGAGCAAGGUAGUAUCUUAUCAUCCGCAUAAUCAACACACCAUGACAGAAAUCGAAUCAAAUAAAUACUACGAGUGCCGAAUGGAAGAAAGAAAUUAAAACAUUUUCUGUAAAAUAUUAUUAUUAAUCAAUAACAUGUCUUAAUAUAAAGCGAAAAGUUUCCGAUGAUAAUAUAAAUAUCCAAAACUAUAUAGUCAAAUACUCAAAAGCUGAAACCAAAAUAUCAGAAAAAAAUUUAUAAAAGCAAUAACAUGUGAUGUCUUAUCAUUUACAUUUUUCGAUAAACAUACUUGCCGCAUGCGAAGCACGGGACAUCCUCAAGCCUGGCAAGUCAUUGACGACAUGGUUUCCCUUAUUUGCCGCUUAUGCAAAGGUGAAACGCUACCUCAUUCUUUAAAACACAUCAAAGUUUGCUGUCUUCUCCAGCCAUAUUUCAAUCUGAAAAGGAGCAUUACAAGAGCAACAAUCAGCUCCUGAAUGUGAUAUUAUAAAAAGAAUUCUGUAUCACAUAUAUCCAAAUGACCUGAACAUCAACACAAAAUAUUAAUCAUCCUAGAGGGAAAUCAACAUUGCUGACAAAACCACGUCUACCAAAUAUAAUGUACACAGAAUUAUCCAAAAAUAUGAUGACCUAAGAUCCUCCAAAUCACCAGCUUUAAAUAAAAAAGUCCCCCCAAAUCACCAUCAAAAUUUGACUACACUGGGAGAAUGACGAAGAAGCAGAAAAUCAAAAAGAAAAAGCUAUAUCGUCCAUUCUUGCAAUUUCUGAAAAUGAAGGAAUAUGAAGAGGACCAUCCACAGCAGGUUUUUAUGUUGCACGUAUGAUACAUUAGUAAACCAUGCAGAAAUUGAAAGAAAGCACAAAAAGAUAAAGCAUCCAUUUACCUUGGCUUUCUGGACGGGUCAUCCUCGAGAUUCAUCCCUUAUAUCAACUGUCGAGGUCAUGAUCUCUGCAAGAGUACAUGUUAAUUACUGAACAAAUUGAAACUUCAUGGGUGGGGUAAAAGAUGUCUUAACUGGAAAUUAGAAAAUCUUACUCUUCUCAACAGCCAAACCAUUGUUUUUCAGAAUUUCAGCAACUGUGACAACUGUGGCAAUAGCUGCAGAAAUAACGAGAAAAAAGAAGCUUUAAGCGCAGAAUAAGCCAUCAUAAACAUUAUGUCAGAACAAAGUAAGAAAGACUUGUUUGAGCCCAGUAAUGGCAUUGGCAUGGACUAGAUGGAAUAAAAUGCAUUCAAAUGAAAGCUAAUUCGAGCACAAGUAUGUUUAUCGAAAAAUGUAAAUGAUAAGACAUCACAUGAUAUUGAAGAAAUCAGGAGCAAUAAAAACUGUUCACAGGAUAAAUUAAAAAGUGGAAUCUCAACUCACUGUCUCAGGCGGCCGGCGCGAUGGCGACGGCUGAACGCGGCUGCAAAAGCAAUAAUUUAGACUGGAGGGUGAGAUGGUGACUAGAGACGGAGAAAGUGAGAGCGACUAAACGAGCGUGAAAGAGAGGGGUUGUUGCUGCUGUGUGUGCCUUCAGAGAGAGAGUGAAAGCGAGCGAGCUACUGCAGUGUGUGGUGCGACCCGCUGGGCUGCCGCCGCCGCCGCCGCCGCGUGGGCUGCGUGUGCCGUUGUCAUCGUGCGUGCUACUAAGGCCUUAGAGAGGGGCUGCCGCUGGUUAGCGCUUAGGGAGAGUUAGGGAUUUAGGCACUUGGAAUUUUAGGGAUUUGGAUUUUAGUUUGUUUGAGAGGGAACAAAUUUUGGUGGAGGGAGAUCGAAAAUUUUGUGUUAAAUUAUAGCAAAGGGUUUGUAGUUAAUUAUAUACGGUUUAACCAAACAAAGAAAAUAUGCACACAAGUGGUUUGUAGUUUGAAAUUAAAAUUUUAACUUCGGACAUAUUGAGUUCGAGUCCAAGUAAAAACAUAAUUAGAAUUAUAUUUGUUUUUAUCACUGAUACUAAAGUAUCAGUAAUUACUGAGUUUUAUGCUACUGACACUUUAGUACCAGUGAUUUAUGAUACAUAUUUGUUAAAUGGAAAAAAUGAUCCAAAUGUAUAACAUUACUGACACUUUUUACGAAGUGUCAGAAACGAAGUGUCAGUAAAGGUCAUUUUUGUAGUAGUGCUACUUUAUGGGGAAACCAUUUCCUGAAAUCCGCUGCCGAUGUCGAGGUAAUUAAAAAAUUGCAAUAUCAAAAUAUCUCAUUAAUUAUCAGAGAAGCAAGCCCAAUCGAUGUACAAUCAUAUGUCAUAUGUAAUCGUUUGUUAGACAUACGUAAUGCAUUAAUAUUAAGUAAUUUCUUGCGUUUGCAGACAAUUGACGCUGCAACUCAAGAACAGCACGCAGCACUGAAGCAAGAGGUCAGGAGGAUGAUAACCACUACUGCCAAUAAGCUUGCCCAAAAACUACACAUGAUUGAUGCAGUACAACGAUUAGGUGUCGCUUAUCAUUUUGAAAAAGAGAUUGAAGAUGAAUUGGGAAAGGUAUCUCAUGAUCUUGACAGUGAUGAUCUAUACGUUGUUUCUCUUCGUUUUCGACUUUUUAGACAGCAAGGAGUUAAGAUUUCAUGUGGUAUGUAAUAGUUUCUCAUUUUGUUAAUUAAACUAUUUAUGUUAAUUACAAGAUUAUUGUUGAUUAUCAAAUUAAAUUUAAGCAUGUACACUAAUCGAGACUAGCUCGCCUCUUUUGAACAUGGUCAUUAGAUGUGUUUGAUAAGUUCAAAGAUGAUGAAGGUAAAUUCAAGGAAUCAUUGAUCAACGAUAUACGAGGCAUGUUGAGUUUGUACGAGGCAGCAUACCUAGCAAUUCGGGGGGAAGACAUUUUAGAUGAAGCCAUUGUUUUCACUACCACUCACCUUAAGUCAGUAAUAUCUAUAUCUGAUCAUUCUCAUGUAAACUCUAAUCUUGCUGAACAAAUACGUCAUUCUCUGCAAAUUCCUCUCCGUAAAGCCGCAGCAAGGUUAGAGGCAAGGUAUUUUUUGGAUAUCUAUUCAAGGGAUGAUUUGCAUGAUGAAACUUUGCUCAAGUUUGCAAAGUUAGACUUUAAUAUAUUACAAGCAGCACACCAGAAGGAAGCAAGUAUCAUGACCAGGUAACUUUAUAUAUAUUCUUUCAACGUGGAAAAGCCUAUUAUUGGUGUUGUUUUGAAAUGGGAGAUUGUCACUUUCCCUAGAAAGAGAAAUCAUAUUUUACCAGUUGCCCCCUUGUAUAAUCAAAGGCUCAAGGCAAAAUAUCUUAUAAUAGUUAUUAUUAUUAUUUAUUUAUUAACACCAAACCAAGAUUUUUAGUUUGCAGUAAAAUUUUUAUGUAUUCUAGAUUUGUCAACAGUGGUAGUGGUUGUAGUUUUUGUAUAUUAUGUGCUUGUUGCUAAUAAUAAUAAUAAUAAGUUAUAGUGUUUGGAGGAUAUUGUGUAUAAUGAAAGAGUAAUGAUACAAUUAUAAUUUUUUUUAAGAACGGAUGUGAUAUAAAUUCAUAGAUUAGAUGAAAAUACAAAAUAAUAAAAAUAAAUUAAGUAAAUUUCUCUCUCUCUCUUUUUAAUGAAACAAAUUUUCCAAAUAUAAUAUGGAAGAUUUCCAACUUCUCUUUAAAAUUUUUAGCUUUUGUCACUCAUCCCUCGAGUUUUCAUAAUUCGCUUGCUACCUCCUUAAAAGAUGAAACCAAAUUGUGUUCUUCUUUGUAUUUCUUAUAUACUACAGAACUAACGAUUGUUAUAGUGACAACUUUAUAAUGUAGCAAAAUAUCUAUCUAAUUAGAUUUAAAAUUGAAUUUCAGGUGGUGGAACGAUUUAGGCUUCCCUAAAAAGGUGCCUUAUGCAAGAGAUAGAAUAAUAGAGACAUAUAUCUGGAUGUUGCUGGGAGUGUCCUAUGAGCCCAAUUUGGCAUUUGGUAGAAUUUUUGCAUCCAAAGUGGUUUGCAUGAUAACCACAAUAGACGACACAUUUGAUGCUUACGGUACUUUUGAAGAGCUCACACUUUUUACUGAAGCAGUCGCAAGGUUAUAAAACCAUAUACAUCCCUACACAGCAGUUGUUAAGUUGCAUUAUCUGUAUUCUAUAGGUUACAAUAACCUAAAUAAUGGGGACAUCAUGAGUGACUAUUAGGGUUGCUGCAGGUUAUACAUGAUGUAACUUAGUAAGACCCCAUCCCUAUAUAAUAAAAGAUUAUUAUCGUUUCAUUACUUCAAGAAUUAUAAAAUAUUAGAUAAGUACAAGAAGUAUUAUUUUCCACCGUUUUACUACUAUAACUUUGUAAAACCUUUUAUUUUACUACUUUUUUGUUAGAAUCGUUAGCUGACUAAUAAAAUAGUAAUUUUACCCUUUAAGAUAAAAUGCACAAAAGAGGUAUCCAAUAGUAUACAUAAAAUUAUGAAUAUUAGUUUUAAACAUGAAUUGUUAAAUAAUAGUUUUAACCAUAAUUUUUUGAAUAACACUUGAUUUAUUGCGAGCAUAAAAGUAGUGAAUUGACAAAAAUACCCCUAUAAUUUUUUGCCCAAAAAAAAAUCACAAUCUAUUCUAGAAAAAAAAAUUAAAUAUGGAAGUGUUGAUUCUGUAAAUAAGCUUUAAGUGUUUUUUUUAAAGAAUAAAUUGUGUGUUUUUUUAUGAAAAAUAUCCAGGAGUAUUUUGUUAAUGCACCAUUUUUAUAGUUAUGAUAAAUUUAGGGGUAUUCAUAAAGUCAUGGUUAAAACCAUUAUUUUAAAAUUAAAGGGCAUGCCAAUAAUUUUUGUCUAUUAUUUGAUACCUCUAUUUGUGUAUUUUAUCAUAAAAGGAAAAAUUGAUAUUUUAGUAAUUAACUAAUGGUUUUAACGAAAAAAUAGUAAAAUGAUAGGAGAUAAUACUUCUUAUAGUCAUUUGAUAUUUUACAACUCUUGAAGUGGUGAAACAAUAAUAACCCUAUAAUGUAAUUCUUUGAUUGGAUAUUUAAUUCAUAAUAUACUUUUAUUAGAAACAAAUUAAUUGUAUCGCUUAUAUAUUUUCUUAAGAACGUGCAAAUAUAUCGAUUAUAUUUGAUUUUUUCAGAUGGGACAUUGGCCUCAUAGAUACACUGCCAGAAUACAUGAAAUUUAUUGUCAAGGCACUCUUAGAUAUUUAUAGAGAAGUUGAGGAAGAAUUGGCAAAGGAAGGAAGAUCGUACGGCAUACCAUAUGCAAAACAGAUGGUUAGCAAUUACUUUAUUAAUAAUCAAUUUCAUGUUAUUUGAUUUUGCAAGGUGGUUAUUAUUGACUUGGGCUAUGUUGCUCAGAUGCAAGAAUUAAUUAUUUUGUACUUUACCGAAGCCAAGUGGUUAUAUAAAGGUUAUGUUCCAACCUUCGAUGAAUACAAAUCAGUUGCAUUAAGAAGUAUCGGUUUACGUACGCUAGCGGUCGCUUCCUUCGUUGAUUUGGGUGAUUUUAUUGCAACGAAGGACAAUUUUGAAUGCAUUCUUAAAAACGCUAAGAGUCUUAAAGCGACAGAAACCAUUGGCAGGCUCAUGGAUGACAUAGCAGGUUAUAAGGUAAAUAAUACUCUUCAUUCUACAUUAUAAUUCAAUUCAAUAAGACUAUAUUCACCACUAAUCUCCAAGAGAAAUUUUGUAACGUAUCUUAAGGCGUGUCACCAUAGUAUACAAUUUCUUUAUCUAUUUUAAAGGUAGAAAUGCGGGUGAAGCCCACAUCAAUUUUUCUAACACCUAGCUUCUCCAGAUUCAAACUUAGAAAUUGUCAAUAAAAUAAAGAUUGUUGAAAACCAUUCCGCCUUUGAGGGUGCAUUUCUUUUCAACUCUCUUUAACACAUAACAACACAAAACAUAACAUAACAUAACAUAACAUAUAUGCCCAACGAAAAAAACCAAAAAAAAAUUAGCUAACUGAUGAUUUUUUUUUUUUUUUGGUUCUCUUAUAACCAAUUCAUAUGCAUCCGUGAUGUAGUUUGAGCAGAAGAGAGGACAUAAUCCCUCAGCAGUUGAGUGCUACAAGAAUCAACAUGGCGUCUCCGAGGAAGAGGCAGUUAAAGAGUUGUUGUUAGAAGUUGCUAACAGUUGGAAAGAUAUAAAUGAGGAGCCUCUCAACCCAACGACUGUCCCGUUACCUAUGCUUCAACGGCUUCUUUAUUUCGCACGUUCAGGCCAUUUUAUCUACGACGAUGGUCAUGAUCGCUACACCCAUUCAUUGAUGAUGAAACGCCAAGUUGCCUUGUUGCUGACGGAACCCCUUGCGAUCUGAAGAUUAACGUCAUGCUAUUGAUUUUCCAUCGGAUAUAUUUGAGCAGUUGUAAUAAAUGAAGGUCUCGCUGGCUAUUUAGCUAGCUACUCAUGCCUGGCUAAUAAAUGUGUCGCCAAAUAAUAUGGUUUCAAAUUGUGGUCCUUUUAGUUAAAAAAUUAAUAAUAAAAUAUUUUUCUUCUAAUUUCUUUAUUAUUUUAUAAACAUUUUCUUAUAAUAAAUAUACAAUAUAAAAUAUAAAAAGCACAAGAAAGAUAUCUUAUUAUUAAUUUUUUAUUCACAUCAAAACAUAUAUAUGUGUAUAUAUAUCUUAUUUAUAAUAUUAAAUUUUUUAUUUUAAUUUCUAUUUAAAUCAUUUAUUUAAUUUAUAAUAAAUAUGAAUAAAAGUGUAUUUGAAAAUAAGAAUGAUACUGUAAAAUUAUACUGCCGGCGGAUUAUUGAUUAUUAAGAAAACAAUAACGGGUUAGUGGUAUAUAUUAAUUUCAAUAGGGGGAAAUUGGCAAUCUCCCAAUUGAAAUUUUGGUCAUAUAACCAUUGAAUUAGCAAUCUCAAUUUAAAGGAUUAAAUUAAAAAUUAUCAAUUUAUGACAUUUAUUAUAUUUUUAUUUAUUAAUUAAAAUUAUUUGCUUAAUUAUUUAUUUCAGUUAUUCUUGAUUUUUUUAAUUUUAUUGCUAAAUUAACAUUAAUUUUAUUUAGUUAUUCUUGAUUUUUUUUUAUUUUAUUGAUAAAUUAACAAUAAUUUCAUAUCAAUGUAUCAAGAAGCGUAUAAUAGUAAAUGAAAAAUUAUUAGGUUUUUUAUUACCCUUUAUCUAUGGGGAGGAAACAAGUAAUUGCAAAUCUAGUUGGAAUGUAAAUAAUUAAAAAUGGAUCUUUCAAGGACGAAACUUUUCCUCCAAUCUAAAUAAUAUUCAUUAUCUGUUUAUAUAUUAAUUUAUUGGUGCAAGUUUGUGUUGAGAAUCAUAUAAAACGGCAUUAAAUGAAACUUUAAAAACAGAAUCUGCACUUGUCAAAGGGGUAAUCUGCACUUGUCAAAGACAAGAUCCGCGCCGAACGGAUUGACACAUUUCCUUCCGUAUUCACACAUGUAAUCUUUGAAAAAAUGUAGCCGCUGCAUCUAUAAAUAACUCUAAAUGUAUAAUGCUUUAUUUAAGAAAUGAAAACACGUUUCUUCAUGGUAUCAGAGCCAUGAAUACGCUCAAGUUUCUUCAAGUUCCGUUGCUCUGUUUGUAACAAAAACAGAGGAAACCAAAUUCCUCCCACAACCAUUUUUCCCACCAUUUUCUUUCUUAAACCCAUUCCUACCAUUACAGAUAUCCAUGCCGAUCAAGAAACGAGCCACCCAUACGUAAAAAACUUGAGUUUACAAAUUUAUCAACAAACCCAUCAAUUUUCCGAGAGUGUGUUCCUCAAAAACCAAGAACACCACCAAAUUUCUCAGUUUUCAGUGAGGAAACUGUAAAAAUUUUGCAUUUAAACACAAUCCCACGCGCUCACACGCGCCACCCGAAGCCACGGCCAGUCAACCACGCGCCUCUGUCAUCAUUCACGCGCUCUCACGCGCUCCAAAGGUUGAAGACGACGUCAGCCGACAUGUCAUUUUUAUCUCAGAAGUGCAGCAGUAAAAAAACGACGUGUCAUUUUUUUGUUAUACUAAAACCGACAUGUCGUUUUUAAAUUAGAGAUAAAACGACAUGACGCUUAGUCUCCAGAAGCGCAGCAGGAUUAAAACGACAUGUCGUUUAUAUUCCACCAUAACCGACAUGUCGGUUUUGUAAGCAGUGGCCAAACGACCUGUCGUUUUGUUACCUAAAAAGGUUAUUUUUUUUCCUUCUUUCAAUCUAGACGAAAAAAAAAAACAAAAAAAAACAAAAAAAAACAAAAAAAAAACAAAAAAAAAACAAAAAAAAAAAAGAAAAAAAAGAGAAAAAAGAAAAAAAAAAUAGAGAAAACUCCAACUGAAUCUAGUCCUGUUGUUAUUCAAUCCGUUCAAUCUGAUGGAGUAUUUAAUGCUGGAAUUAUCCUAACUGAGACAAACUACGAUGUUUGGUCUCAAAUAAUGGAGAUGCAUCUUGCAGAAAGAGAAAAACUCUCAUAUAUUCGUAACAACACAAAGCCAUUUGAGGAAUCUUCAAAGGAAUAUGAGAAAUGGUAUAGUGAGAACCAAAAAGUAAAAAGAUGGUUACUCAUAUCCAUGUCUCCGGAGAUCAUGAAGCGAUAUUUACGAAUUCCUACAACCUACGAAAUCUGGGAUGCAUUAUCAAAAGCCUUCUAUGAUGGAAGCGAUGAAUUACAAGUUUUCACUCUAAACCAGAAGGCAUUCUCUACCAAGCAAAAUGGACAACCACUCUCUAAAUUCUAUGGAGAAUUGGUCGAAAUAUUUCGAGAACUUGAUCACCGAGAUAAAGUGGUCAUGAAGGAUCCAGAAGAUGUUGUAAUAUACAGAAGGUCUGUUGAAAGAUUGAGAGUGCACAUUUUUCUUGUUGGGCUAGAUGAAGAAUUUGACCAAGUUCGUGGAGAAAUUCUACGAAAAGACAUUAUCCCAGACUUAGAAGAAUGUUAUUCUCUGAUCCGAAGAGAAGAUAUACGGCAAAGCAAACUAAACAAGAAGGUCGACUCAGAAACGUCUGCUAUGAUAGCACGACAGCAACCUCAAAGGAAGUUUGUUGACAAGUCAUCACUCCAUUGCACUCAUUGUAGAAAGAAGGGUCAUACGAAAGAACAAUGUUUUGAAAUCAUUGGAUAUCCUGACUGGUGGGAUACUCGAAAGAAGAACACCAAGCAUGGAUCAAAAACUGCAGUAUCCACAUCCACUACAGAUCUUAGAAAAGAAUCUUCAGUGCAAAUCGCAACCUCUGUCAGUCCAGGUAAGGCCCUUAAAACUCUUACACCUGUUAUUAAUAGUACAUGGAUAAUUGAUUCUGGGGCAACUGAUCAUAUGACUUUUGAUUCUCGACAAGUUUCUCAAUUGAAACUAUCUUCACAAAAACAUAUUUCCACUGCAAAUGGAACUACAACCUCAGUUAUUGGGGAAGGAUCUUUACGACUCACAAAUGAAUUAAAUUUAGACGCUGUGUUAAUUGUUCCAUCUUUAGAUUAUAAUCUUUUAUCUGUGUCUCAAUUAACCACUUACUUAUCAUGUGUUGUAAUUUUUUGGCCUGAUCAUUGUGUGUUUAAGGACAUCCAAACGAAGCAAACGAUUGGUUAUGGUAUUAGACGAGGCAACUUGUACUACUUGGAGAUGUCAUCAACAAACACUGGAAAGCUAAGCCCUGCACUAGUCGCAGAUAGUUCCAUAAAAAAAGGGAAAUCAGAAAUUUGGUUAUGGCAUAGACGUUUAGGGCAUGUGUCAUUUGGUUACUUAAAAAAAUUAUUUCCUAGUUUGUUUCUGAAAUUUGAUGUUUGUAACUUUAAAUGUGAUGUUUGUGAACUUUCAAAAUGCCAUCGAACUACUUUUCCAUUGUCCUUAAAUAAAAAUCCAGUUCCUUUUAUGGUAGUACAUUCUGAUGUAUGGGGGCCAUCUAAAGUUUCUACAAUUGGAGGUGCUCGUUGGUUUGUUACAUUUAUUGAUGAUUGUAGCAGAAUGACAUGGAUUUUUCUGAUGAAAUCGAAAGACGAAGUAAACUCUUUAUUUCAAAGAUUUCAUAAGAUGGUGACAACUCAAUUUCAGACACAAAUUUGAGUUCUACAUACUGAUAAUGGAGGCGAGUAUAUGAGCACAGCAAUUCAACAGUUUCUGAAAUCACAAGGAUCUGUCCAUCAAACCACUUGUGUGGGGACACCCCAACAAAAUGGCGUUGCUGAACGAAAAAACAGACAUUUACUAGAAGUUGUUCGAGCAUCACUAAUCCAAGCCCACAUGCCAUUAUCUUAUUGGGGAGAAGCACUGGCAUCCGCAGCAUACUUGAUCAAUCGAACACCUUCAAGCUCCCUUGGAUUCCAGACUCCUUUCCAAGUUCUGAAUGAUGCAAUUAUGUCACCAAAUGUGCCGAAUCUGCCCCCACAUGUGUUUGGCUGUGUUGCCUUCGUUCAUUUGCCGCAACAAGACAAAUUAUCUCCUCGAGCACUACGUUGUGUGUUUGUAGGGUAUGCCUUAUAUCAAAAGGGAUACCGAUGCUAUCAUCCACCAUCAAGAAAAAUAUACAUCACCAUGGAUGUCGUUUUUCAUGAAGAUAUCAUGUACUACUUGUCAGAGUCUGAAUUUCAGGGGGAGUAUAAUGAAGAGGAAAUUCAUACUCUUACAUAUCUUCCACCUGAAGAAAGUCAAUCUUCCAUUGAGAUAGUAAACCUUCAAGAUACAGGAAAAGCAAAUGGUGAUGAUUCGCAGGCUGAGAUAUGUGAAGACACAUUUGGGGAGCACAAUAACUCAGACACAACUGCAAUCGAGAAUGAGUCACAUGAAGAAAUACCUAACCAAUCGUCUGCAGAGGAUGUUCCUACCACAAGUCCGAUCAGAAGAAUUCUUCCCCAGCGUAAAAAUAGAGGUAUCCCUAAACCCACAUAUGAGCCUGACUUCUCUAGUAGAGUCAAAUACCCUAUGAGUCAUUUUGUGUCUAACCAUCGCUUGUCAGAAUCAAAUCAGUCAUUUGUGAAUCAAUUAUCUGCUGUAGCUAUUCCUAACAGUGUGCAGGAAGCUUUAAAAGAUCCAAAGUGGAAAGUGGCUAUGAAUGAUGAAAUGAGAUCUCUUCAGAAAAAUCAAACAUGGGAACUAGUUGAUCUUCCACCAGGAAAGAAACCAGUGGGUUGUCGAUGGAUCUACACUAUAAAAUACAAAGCAGAUGGCUCUAUUGAACGAUACAAAGCAAGACUUGUAGCUAAGGGUUACACCCAAACCUACGGGAUUGAUUAUACUGAUACGUUUGCACCGGUAGCAAAAAUUAAUACUAUUCGUAUCUUAUUAUCAUUAGCAGUCAACUUGGAUUGGCCAGUGUAACAGUUCGAUGUAAAGAAUGCUUUCCUCCAUGGAGACCUGUUUGAAGAAAUUUAUAUGGAUUUGCCACCAGGAUGCAGUGGACCAGAACGACUCAAUCAGAAAGUAUGCAAAUUGAAGAAAUCAUUGUAUGGGUUGAAGCAAUCUCCAAGAGCAUGGUUCGGGAAAUUCACAAAGGCUAUGGUUCGUUUUGGGUAUAACCAAAGCAAUUCAGAUCAUACCUUAUUCAUUAAAAAACGACAAGGUAAAAUCACUGCCCUUAUUGUCUAUGUGGAUGAUAUGGUAGUUACGGGCAACGACGAGGAAGAAACAGAGGCUCUUCAGAAGUACUUGUCAAGAGAGUUUGAGAUGAAGGAUUUAGGUGCCUUAAAAUACUUUCUUGGAAUUGAGGUUUCUCGAUCUAAGGGAGGAAUCUUUCUGUCUCAAAGGAAAUAUGCCUUAGAUCUAUUGCACGAAACGGUAAUGACAGCUUGUCAGCCUAUUGACACCCCAAUAGAAGAAGGACUGAAGUUUUGUAUUACUUCAGACCAAGUUCCAGUAGACAAAGGAAGAUAUCAAAGGCUGAUUGGAAGAUUGAUGUACUUGUCCCACACAAGGCCAGAUCUUGCUUAUGCAUUGAGUGUUGUAAGCCAGUUUAUGCAUAAUCCCGGAGAACAACACAUGAAAGCAGUAAUGCGGAUCCUGAGGUACCUGAAGACAAAUCCAGGAAAAGGAAUCUUAUUUUCCAAAAAUGAAGAUUACAGCAACAUAGAAGUUUAUACUGAUGCAGAUUGGGCCGGGUCAGUUAGUGAUAGACGCUCUACUUCAGGAUACUUUACCUUUGUGGGAGGAAACCUUGUCACAUGGAGAAGCAAGAAACAACAUGUCGUUGCCCGUUCGAGCGCUGAAGCAGAAUAUCGAGGCAUGGCCCUUGGGAUAUGUGAAGGGCUAUGGAUAAGUUUUAUCUUAAACGAUUUGGGCUAUCCAUCACAACAACCAAUACAACUAUACUGUGACAACAAAGCUGCACGAGAUAUUGCUCAUAACCCAGUUCAACAUGAUCGAACAAAACAUGUGGAGGUAGAUAGAUUUUUCAUCAAGGAGAAAUUAGAUGAAAAAAUCUUAGAACUGCCGAAAAUUCGAUCAGAAGAUCAACUUGCAGAUAUUUUAACGAAGGCCAUUUCAAGCAGGGCAUUUACAAAAUUCCUAGACAAGUUGGGCAUGCAAGACAUCUAUGCACCAGCUUGAGGGGGAGUGUUGAGAAUCAUAUAAAACGGCAUUAAAUGAAACUUUCAAAGACAGAAUCUGCACUUGUCAAAGGGGUAAUCUGCACUUGUCAAAGACAAGAUCCGCGCCGAACGGAUUGACACAUUUCCUUCCGUAUUCACACAUGUAAUCUUUGAAAAAAUGUAGCCGCUGCAUCUAUAAAUAACUCUAAAUGUAUAAUGCUUUAUUUAAGAAAUGAAAACACGUUUCUUCAGUUUGCCACCUGCAAAGUAUUUUAUUUUCACAUUUAUAGGAGGCCGUUUUUUGACCUUAUUAUUAUAUAUUAAUUUGUUGGCGCAUGAUUAAAAGAAAUUUACAAAUAAUAAUUCUUGCUUUUAGAAUGAUUUAAAUGCCAUGCGUCACAAUAACUUUAGAUGCUUCAAAAAAAUUAGAUCAAGAUGAACCAUGCCCUCUAACCUUGUAAUAUGUAAGCAAAUAAUCCAAUAAAAAAAAAAAUUGUGAAUAUCAGCUAAUUAAAAGUUUAAUAGAAAUGUCCGACAACUUAAAAAAAAAAGAAUUAAAUUUCUUUUUUCCUUUUAUCGGAUUACGGCCACCUCAAGAAUUGAGGGUCGCGCAACCCUAUUUAACCUAAUAUACAUUCUUAGUCAAUCUGGAAGAACUAUGGCUUUGACUCAUCUAUUAUUGAUUUAAAUCGUCAUAGCACCACCAAUUCUUGGAGUUCCCAGAAGAUUUUGGUUGCUCCAAAUUCAAUGAGUUUGUUAAAGUUUCUAUGCAUUGCACGGUAGACAAAAACCAAUCAGAGAGAUAAUGAUAUAAGAAUAUCAAUGGCAACUUCCUCGAUUAGACUAUUGUCUCAUUAAUGACAAAAAAUGCUUGACAGAUCUUGUUCUUGUUGCUUGUCAGGUUUCUCAUUUAUCCACUUUUGUUUUGUCAGUAUGUUAGCUAUGAAAACACUACCAGUGGAUCUCUUGAACUUCCCGGCCAUGGAAACCCUGGAUGCAAUUUUUAUUGAAGUUGGUAAGUUCGUUACCGUCUUCUUCUGCUCGAAAAUUGCCGUCAAUAGAAAACUCCAUGGUAACAUGAAAGCUCUUCAGAAAUAACUAUGUUGAAAGCAGCAGCAGUGGACAGUCAACGGUUGACCUCAGAGACACGUUGGCAUGUCACCUAAGCUACACCUAUCUGCAUCCAGCUAAUGAGAGAAAUGAGCUGGAUUUAAUGAGGUGGCAAAAUGGUUAUGCUGAGGAAUAUCAGCACAUGAGCAUGGAAGGAUGGAGAUUCGAGAAGCUCUACAUCAUUGGUUAAUGAUAGCUAUAUUCACGGAUCAAUUUUUUUACUUAUUUCCAAGUGUUGUCCUUUGGCUUGUUGUCGUUUUUCAUAGCUUGUGUAUAAAUAAGCCAAUGCUUGUAAACUUUUAUUCAUUCGAGUUAUUAAUAUUAAUGGAAGUGCCUGUGGUUUAUGCUCUGCUUGCAUCAAUAAGCAAUUCUUAAUGAAUUUAAGUAACUAGAAGAACUCACAGAAAGGAAAAAUGAAAUUGAAGAAGAUAUCAGAUUAGCCGAAAGUGAAGGAAAGUGUCCUAAUACACGAGUCAGGGUGUGGCUCAGAAAGGUAGAGGAGACUGCACGAGAAGUGCAACAUAUGGUCGAGGAGGGCAACAGACUUGCUAUGCAACGCUGCAGCCUUGCCUGCAACUUGCACUCACACUAUCAGCUUAGUAGAAUUGUUGGAAAGAAGAGAAAGAGGUGAGCAACUAGCUCCUUGACAUGCGCAAUUUUCAGAAUGUUGUAACUGAUAAAAAGUCUCCCGUAAAAGCUGUUGAGAGGAUGCAAGGGCCAUGUCUCUUUGGUCAGAAAGCGGCGGAGGAAAUUUUAGAGCGGCUUGAAGGGUAUCUGAAUGACGGUGGAAUCAAAAGAGUUGCCGUUUAGGGUAGGGGAUGAGUGGGGAAGACUAACUUGGUGAGAAACCUUGAACAAGUAGUUAAAGACCUCUUCUCUUAUGGAAUCCUUGAAUAUUGUCAUCUGGGUUAGAGUCUCAAAAGAUCUCGAUUUGAGAGAUAUUCAAUCACAAAUUGCAAAAAGAUUGAGGUUAGAAUUUGAUGCGGAAGAGACCAUUGACAGAAGAGCUAGGAGACUGCAUGAAAGAUUAAUGACGAAGAAAAGGUUCCUUCUUAUUCUGGAUAAUGUUUGGGAGAAAUUAAAAUCGAUUUGGACAUUGUGGGCAUUCCACAAGAUGAAGACCAAGCUAACUGUAAGAUCCUUCGGACAACUCGAUCCCUUGAUGUGGGUAGAAACAUGAUGACUGAUGAGGAAGUCAAGAUGAACCUUUUGAAUGAAAAAGUAGCUUGGAAUUUUUUUGCUGAAUAUACAGGAGAUGUCGUCCGGUUAGAAAAAAAUAAAUCCAAUAGCAAAGGCAAUUGCCAGGAAAUGCUGUGGUUUACCGUUAGCUAUUGCAACCGUGGGGAAGUCCACGAGUAACAAAAGGAUGAAAGAGCAGUGGAAGAAUGUACUCUACGAAUUGCAGCUCUCGGCACCCCAAUUUGAAAGCAUCAAGAAGGAUGUUUAUCAGCCCUUAAAGUAGAGUUGCUACCCAUGCCAAGUAAGUUUCUUCAGUGAUGCUUUUUACAUUGUUCUUUAUAUCCAGAAAACUAUUCUAUCCUAACAUGUGAACUUAUUUAAUGCUGGACAGCUGAUGGAAUAAUAGAUGAAAUGUAAGAGAGAUUAUAAUAUUUUGUAGUUUGAAAUUUAAGGAGAAAACGGCAGCCUAUUGUGAAGAAAACGGCUAACCAUUUUCGUCAGUAAGCAUGUUUUCUUGCUUGUACAAAACCGGCUAGCUGGAUUUUAAAAUUAAAAAACCCGGUUAAUUCUAGUGAGUUCUCUGGACAGCCGGAUUUAAUAGCCGGUAAAUUAAAUUUUUACACAAUGCUCUCUGGACAAAAAACGGAUAUCUAAAUUUUUGUAUCUGGCUAACCGGUAUUGAACAUAUGCUAAUUUCAAACCAAAUGGUGUGUCUUUGAAGAAGUACCAUUUUAAAUGGUUGUAAUUUUAAGAUGAAAAAACGUCUUCUUCAUCAUAUAGACACUCACAUAUCAAUAUAAAGCUAGAUUUUUUACAGAUUUCAUAUAUGUUCUAGGAAUAAAAUCUAAUUUGCUAGAUAUUAUAUUCAGGAUUUGUUAUAUUUUAGGGGUAAUUUGCCAUUAAACUCUAUAGCAAACCAAGAGUGGUGAGGGCAAAUAAAACCUUAAAGGAAAGUGUAUAAACAUGUCUCAAAUCCUAAGUAAUUUCUUUGAUUUUUGUCUCCAUUUCGUAAAUUCUCCAACAAUCUUUAAGGUUUUAUUUUGUUCGCAAAUGGAGGCUGAGAAGAAUCUAACUUCAUUUCUCGAUCUUUUUUAUGGCACUAAUUGUACUCGCUGGAAGGGAAAAUUGUUCUUCAUUCUCACUGUUCUGAAAAUUGCAUAUGUUCUUGAUCCAAAAUUGGAACCAUUUCCAAAGCCAAAAGAAGAUGAGACCGAAGUUGUUAAGGUUGCAAGGAAAAAACAUGAAGAUGAUGAAUUGAUGUGUCGGGGUCACAUAUUCAAUACGCUUUCUCUAUGAUCUUUACAAUUUCAUGACUUCUCCGCUGGAAAUUUAGAAGGUUCUUGAGUACAAAUAUAAAAUGGAGAAGGAAGGUACUGAAAAAUUCCUUAUCUCAAAAUAUUUUAAAUUUGUUAUGGUAGACACAAAAUCCAUUCUUGAUCAAAUACAUGAAUUACAUAUUAUAGUUACUAAGCUUCAGGAAUUAAAAGUUGAAAUUUCUGAAUCAUUUCAAGUUGGGUCUAUUAUUGCUAAGUUGCCUCCAAAGUUAGAAUGAUUAUAGAAAGAAACUUUUUCAUAGUAGAGAGAACAUAACUUUAGAAGAAUUACAAAAACACUUGGUAAUCGAAGAAGAGAUAAGGUCUCGAGAUUCCAAGUACAAGCAUGAUUCUUCUAAGGUUAAUGUUGUUGAAGCUUGUAAAUUUUCAAAGAAUUUCAAGGUCAAGAAUGACAAGAAAUUCAAGAAGUCCAACACACAAAAAUUUUCUAAAAAUUGUUUCUUUUGUGGCAAGAAAUGCCAUCGCCAAAGUGAUUACAGAUUCAAGAAGAAAAAAAUAAGUGAAUUCCCAUAAAGCUAAUAUUAUUGAAGAGAAAUCUGAAGAGUAUUGUGCUAGGGUUUCUGAGAUGCAAAUUAGCAUGAUUACCGAAACCAAUAUGGUUGAAACUAAAUCCUGCGAUUCGUGCCUCGAUUUAGGUGCUACCAUUCAUGUUUGUAAGACAACAUGUUCUCAUGGGGAAUAAUAAUAUAGCCAUGGAAGCAGGAAAAGGAGUAGUCGAGCUCAACUUUACUUUUGGAAAGAAAGUUACAUUGUAUAAUGUCUUUAAUAUACCUUCCAUUAGGAACAAUCUUGUUUCUGCUAGUUGUAUGUGUAAGCAUGUGCUUAAGAUUGUGCUUGAGGGUAAUACUUGUAUUAUUUCAAAGAAUGGGAUGUUUGUUGGGAAAUGUUAUUCUUGUGAUGGAAUGUACAAACUCAACAUUAAUAAUAAUGAUAUCAACUUAGCUUAUAUUGUUAAGUCUUGUAAUGUUUGGCAUGGUAGAUUAGCGCAUUUGAAUUUUAGAUCUUUGUAGUACAUGUCUAAGCAUGGUUUGAUUAAUUGUAAUGGUGUUAAAAGUCAUAAGUGUAAGAAACCUUUUCCUAAAGCCCAACGAAAUACUUAAUAUUAGAUUUAAUACAUACCGAUAUUUGUGAGUAUAGUGGCAUUUUAAAAAGAGGAGGUAAGAGGUACUUUAUGACUUUUAUUGAUGAUUGUUGUAGAUACACUUAUGUGUAUUUACUUAGAACAAAAGAUGAAGCUUUUGAUAAAUUUAAAAUUUUCAAAGCUGAAGUUGAGAACCAAAAAGAUAAGAAAAUCAAAAUGAUUCAAAGUGAUAAAGGUGGUGAAUAUUUCUUAAUUGAGUUUAAUAAUUAUUGUGAAAAAUUUGGAAUUAUUCACCAAAAAUCAGCUCCAUUUACUUCUCAACAAAAUGGUUUAGCUAAACGGAAAAAUAGGAUUUUUAUGGAUAUGAUAAAUUCCAUGAUCAUUAAAUGCAAGACUACCAAAUAAUUUGUAGGGGGAAACAUUACUCAUUACAUAUCAUAUUCAUAAUAGAAUCACAUCUUUGAAAACACAUGUAUCUCCUUAUGAAAUUUGGAAAGGAAGAAAAUCAAACUUGAUGUAUUUAAGGGUCUGGGAUUGUUUAGCUUUUUAUAAAAUACUUGAUCCUAAAUCAUCAAAGUUAAGUGCCAGAGGUACAAGAAGUGUUUUCAUAGGAUAUGCUGAAAAUUCCAAGGCUUAUAGAUUGUUAAAUUUAUAUUCUAAUGUGAUUGUGGAAUCUAGAGAUGUUGAAUUUAUUGAAGAUAAAUUUCAACAUGAUUCUAAUAUUGAAUUAGAAUCAAUUAUUGUUAACCAUGUGAUAAUACUCCUAGUACCUCCACUAAUAACAAUAAAAGGAAAGAGUCUAUGACAUUUUUCGAACCCAGGAGAAGUCAACGUGAAAAGAAAGAAAGAGUUUAGCUCCGGAUUUUAUUUCAUCACAAGCAUUACUCUUCUUAGUUGAACAGGAUAGGAAAAAUAUACUUAACAAAGUACCAUUGUUGUUAAAUGUUGAAGAGACUCCAAAGACAUUUAGCGAAACUAUGUCUUCUAGAGAUGCUUCCUUUUGGAGAGAGGCGGUGAAUGAUGAAAUGGAUUCGAUUAUAUCGAAUCAAACAUGGAUCUUGGUUGAUCUUCCUCCAUGAUCUAAACCAAUUAGCAACAAAUGGGUGUUUAGAAGAAAGUACAACAGUGAUGGUUUUUACAAACUUUUAAGGCUAGAUUAGUAGCCAAAGGGUUUAAGUAAAGAAGUGGUAUUGAUUAUUUUGAUACAUACGCUCCGAUGGCAAUUUGCAUGUGCAUCAAAUGGAUGUUAAGAUCGCUUUUCUUACUAGUGAUCUUGAUGAAGAAAUCUAUAUGGAACAACCCGAAGGAUUUGUUUUGCCUGGAAAUGAGACAAAGGUAUGCAAGUUAGUUUAGUCACUUUAUGGUUUAAAGCAAGCACCAAAACAAUGGCAUGAAAAGUUUGAUUCGGUAAUCUUAUCUCAUGGUUUUAAGCAUAAUAAUGCUGAUAAAUGUAUAUAUUCUAAGUUUACGAAUGAUUUUGAUGUGAUUAUAUGCUUAUAUGUUGAUGACCUACUUAUCUUUGGAACAAACAUACAAGGAGUAAAUGAUACAAAAACGUAUUUAACUUCACAAUUCAAGAUGAAAGAUAUUGGUGAAGUAUAUACUAUCUUAGGUGUCAAAGUGAAAAAACAUAGUGGGGGUUACUCGUUGUGUCAAUCUCAUUAUAUAGAGAAAGUGUUUCUUAUAUUCAAUUAUUUGAAAUUUUAAAAAAGUUAACACCCCAUAUGAUUCUACUAUUAAAUUACUAGAAAGUUCAAGCCAAGCAGUAGCUCAACUAGAAUAUGCCAGUGUUAUUGGUAGCUUGAUGUAUGCUAUGCAUUGUACGAGACCAGAUAUAGCUUUUGCGGUUUGCAAAAUGUCAAGAUUCACAAGUAAUCAUAGUGUUGAACACUGGAAAGCAAUUAGAAGGAUACUUGGUUAUCUUACAAGGACUAUUAAUUUGGAUUUGUUUUAUAAUGAUUAUCCUGAAGUACUAGAAGGAUAUUCAUAUGCUAGUUGGAUAACCAAUACAAGUGAUAAUAAAUCCACUUCUGGUUGGAUUUUCACAAUUGUUGAAGGAGCCUUGUCUUGGGCUUCAAAGAAACAAACAUGCAUAACUCACUCAACAAUGGAAAGUGAGUUUAUAGCACUUGCAGUUACAGGCAAGGAAGCAUAAUGGCUGAGAAAUUUGUUAUUUGAUAUUAAGUUGUGGCCACAACCGAUGCCAUCUAUUUCUUUAUACUGCAAUAGUGAAGUUACAUUGUCUAGAGCUUAUAAUAAAGUGUAUAAUGGAAAGUCUAGACAUAUUAGCUUAAGAUAUGAAUAUGUGAAACAAUUAAUAGCAGAUGGUGUUAUUAAUAUUGUUUACAUUAGGACUAAUAAAAAUCUAGCGGAUCCUUUAAUAAAAGGUCUUUCAAGAGACUUAGUUAAGGAUACAUCAUUUGGAAUGAGAUUGAAACCUUUCUUUGAUAAAGUCACCAACUACGGUAACCUAACUAUAUAAUAGUUAUACAGCUAUACCAUAAUUAAAUGGGUAAUAACAAGUUGUUAUUAUGUGACUGGUUUGGCAUCGAAAAUAAGUAAUCACAUUUGAGAUGUUCGGUGCAAAUAUCUAUGAAGUUAAGGUUGAGUAUUUACUCUUAAUGAAGUUUAAGUCUUAUAGUAGCUAAAAACAUAAUUUGAAGCUUCACCUAAGUGAACAUAAGAAAUUGUGCCGUUUCUAAUAAGAUCGUGGUUUAAUCUUAUAAAUGUUCAUGAAUCCAAGAUAGAGCACAAGUCUGGAAUAGUGCUAAAUAUUGGAACAUAACUUUGAAAUCUAAGAUAGCUUAUAUGUGAUGUAUCUCUGGUAUCUACUUAAAAGACAAAGUUUAAUGCUUAGCACACUAUUGUCUUAUAAAUGCUUUGAAAUACAUUCACUAAUUAAAUGUUAAAAUCGAAAGAUAUAUUUUUUUAUGUAUAAGUUUAUCAUUGAUAAAUCUAGAAAAUAUUACAAUCUAGUGGGGGAUUGUAAGAGAGAUUAUAAUAUUUUGUAGUUUGAAAUUUAAGGAGAAAACGGCUAACCUUUUUCGUCCAGUAAGCAUGUUUUCUUACUUCUACAAAACCGGCUAGCUGGAUUUUAAAAUCCAGAAGACCGGUUAAUUCCAGUGAGUUCUCUGAACAAGAAAUGGCUAGUCAGAUUUAAUAAUCGGUAAACCGAAUUUUUACAUAAUGCUCUCUGAACAAAAAAUGAAUAUCCAGAUUUUUGUAUACGGCAAACUGGUUGUGAACAAAUGAUAAUUUCAAACCAAAUGGUGUGUCUUUAAAGAAGUACCAUUUUAAAUGGUUAUAAUUUUAAGAUGAAAAAACGUCUUCUUCAUCAUAUAGACACUCAUAUAUCAAUAUAAACCUAGAUUUUUUUUCAGAUUUCAUAUAUGUUCUUGGAAUUUAAUAUUAUUUGCUAGAGAUUAAAUUCAAGAUUUGUUAUAUCUUGGGGGUAAUUUGCCAUUAAACUCUAUAGCAAACCAAGAAUGGUGAGGACAAAUAAAACUUUAAAGGAAAGUAUAUAAACACGUCUCAAAUCCUAAGUAAUUUCUUUGAUUUUUGUCUCCAUUUCGUAAAUUCUCCAACAUGAAAACCAAACUCUAAAGGAAUGUUUCAAUAAAGGGAUUGCUUUUAUUGAAAAAUUGAAGGACCCUUGCUUGUUAGAACAGGUUAAUGCAGUGAGACUAUAAGGAUGCAUUACAUUGUGAGAGACGUGGCUAUAAGUAUAUCAAAGAAUUGUGGAUUUUUCUGUCAAUCUGGUAUUUUACUGUAUGAAAUGCCGCAAAAGUUUUAGAAUUCUUUCGCAAGGAUUUCAUUUUUGAACAACAAGAUUACCAGGUUGCCUAGUCAAUUGAUUGGAUGUUCUGAGCUGAUUGUGUUGCUCCUCCAAGAUAAUUCCCUAAAGAAACUCCCCGAGAACUUCUUUUGAGAAGUUAGAGCACUUAAGAGUUCUGAUCUAAGCAGCACAUAGAUAACUUUCCUGCCUCAUUUGCCUGAUCUAGAGGAGCUCCAUUCUUUCUUUUGGAGGUCUUGAAGGAUUAUUAACCAAUGCAAGUUCGCUGGACCUAAUAAUAUACGGAGGCAUAAGUGUGAUAUCUGAACUAAUUUCAAAGAAUUACUUGUGGGUCUCCCAAUGUCAAAGUCUCUCACCAUAUCAAGUGUAACUCCCUUUCAACUUUGGCAAGUGGGGAGAAUAUUCAUAGAAAUAUGUUACCAAAGAUAGAGCAUUUGGAGCUAAGGCAUUUGAGAAAUUUGGAAAACAUUUUGGAAGAAAUGACGGCUCAAAGAUGUCGCUUUUUCAGAUUAAAAAAUCAUAAAAGUGGUUAAUUGUCCAAGACUGAGAAACCUCAUAUCCUAUGCUUUUCUUAAAGAGGUCCAGAACCUUGAAGAGAUCAGGGUUAUAACCCCAGAAGGAUAAAAUGUAUCUUUGCAGGAAAAUUUUCUUAUGAAAUGCUCACAAAAUUAAGAGUCAUAGAGCUGAGGGACUUGGAAAACUUGAGGAUUAUUUGUUCGAGGAAAAUAGCAUGGCCAAUUUUGGAGAAAAUUGAAGGUUACAAUUGCCUAAACUGACAAAACUGCCAUUCUCAGCCUUCAAUGCACUAACUAUAAAAGAAAUUAGAGGAGGUUUAAAAUGCCGGAAUAAUCUUAGAUGGGAAGAUGACACAAUCAAGUUUAGUCUCCAGCAAAUGUUCCACCCACGUACACACUUAACAAUGCUGACAAGAGAACAUAGUCAAUAGAUAGGAGCAUUUUUCGACAUGUAGACAUCAAAGGAAACAAUGCAUUGCAUCUUGCAGCGAAAUUUGGAGAGUAUGGACCUUGGCGUACUCCAGGAGCUGCAUUGCAAAUGCAAUGGGAAAUCAAUUGCUACAAGGUAUAUAGGUUCGAUUGUUGAUUCUAAUUCAUCACAGUUGCAGGCUUUUGUUCUACUCUUGUCCGUCAUUGUUAUAUUUUAAGGACAUUGCAGUUUGUCAAUGAAUCAAUGCCGCGAUAUUUGUUUCUUGGAUGCAACAAAGGAGGCAAAACACCAAAGGAAAUCUUCACAAAAGCACACAAAUAACUCGUCAAAAAUGGCCAGGAAUGGCUGCCAAGACUCAAGAAUCUCCGAAUCAUGCUUAGUUGUGGUAGCACUCAUAGUGCAUUCGCAACUUCAGUUACUGUGCCAGGUGGCCUCAACCGACAAAGUUGUAAACCAAUCCUGGAAAAUGAGCCUGCUUUCAAAAUCUCUUCCAUUUCAUCAUUUGUUGCUCUGUGCUUCUCUGUUACAGCCUUUUUAUUUUUCCUCUCAAUUCUCACUUCUAGAUACCGAGAAAAAGAUUUCCCCAUGGCCUUGCCAAGAAAAUUUCCCCUUGCUUUAACGUCUGUGUGGACUAAAAUGGUGAAUCCAAAACUUGAGCAUAUUAAACGGCAACGUUUUGUUUGUGUUUAAUGAGUUCAGGUAUCACGAGCUUGGCAUGUGGAUUACUUAAGUCUGAAACGGCAGGGGCUUGUGACGUUUUGAACAAAGACUUAAGUGGAACAUGUGGAAUGCACGUGAAGAGGGGAAUCAAGUUAGUUGCGAAGCUGUUAGUACAGGUGGCAAGAAUCUGUGCAUUCUGGAAUUGAUAUCAGCUGUUAUGUAAGCUGGUUAACGGAGCAGCUUGAAAAGCUAUCUAAGAGCGUGAUAGAGAGAGUUAAGAUACAAAGAAAGCUUAGUCUUGAUCCUAGUAGUUAACUCUUGUAUUACGGUGCAAAGAUUGCUUGAAUCAUCAAUAAAGCUUGUUCUGUUGUCUUCUCCCGUGGAUGUAGAUUGUGCUCUUCUGCACAUUCGAACCACGUAAAACACUUUCUUGUUCUGAGUUUGAUUAGCUUCUAAUUCUGGUUCUUGGUACUUUCUGAUUAUAUCCAUUUACGUUAAAGGUUCUGUGAACUCUUAAAGUUAGAUUGAUUAGGUUCUUAGCAUCUUGAUUGGUCUGGUUUGUGAUCUUGGGCAGUGUAUUGGGUUGUUAAUCGUUUUCUAAAGCACCCAAUUCACUACAGUCUGCUAUUUACAUCAAUUGCUGCUGUAAUGAUCUCGUUCUGUUCAGGGCAUUUCUUUGUUUUAAGAGAUGAGAUGAGAUCAACAGUAUAUCCAUUGUAUGCAGCAACGUGCUUCCCAAUGAUAUUUUUUUCCCUUGCACACAUUCCUCUUUACUUGGAUCUUAUUUAGGCCAUCUUCAAAAAGGUUCCAAAGCGUAGGGAAAGUGUGAUUCCUCAGUUAAUGCCUAUGUUUGCUUUUUUCCUUGUUUGGAUUUGAAGCACUCAUUUUUGGUGAAAUGUUUUGAUUUAAUUUUGUUUCUGUUUUGUCAAUGCAAGUACCAAGUUUGUGUGACGGCACACUAAAAUAAAUUCAAUUUAUAAUAGAAAAAGCUAUUACUAAUAGAGAUUCUUACAAUAAGGGAAUUCUUUAUUUUAAUAAAGUAAGGGAUAAACUAAAUGAUGAAAAAGACACUAAUUUCAAUAUAUUACAAAAUAAAAUAUAUUAUAUUUUGUAAUUUUUUUAUUUUAUUAAAGUAAAACUUUUCUUAUUCUAAAAGGGUCACUCUAUGAUGCUGUUAUAAAAAUUACAACAUCAAUAAUGGUAUAAAUAUUUAUCAUUAGAUUUAAUCAACAGUUAAUAAAAUUAAAAGUUAGUUAGGAUAAUAUUUUAAUUCCAAUUAUUAAAAAUUUAAAUUUACUAAUUAUCAAAAUUGUUAUAGAUGUUUUGUAAAGAUUAAAUAAUAAAAAGAAAUAAAUAUAGUCUACUAAUACUUUUAUAAUUUCUUUUAAAACAUAUGUAUUUUAAUAUUAACACGACUCAAUCUUAGUUUAUAUUUUUAUUAUUUUCUCAUUUUCAAAAAAAAAUACUAGGUUAAUAAAUAUAUCAACAGUUAAUUCAACUUAAUCUUCACCAAUGAGUAAUUCAAAAAAAAAAAAAGACAAUGAAUAAAACUAAGAAUUCAAAAUUAUAUUGUCCCAAUUAUAAAUGAAAAAAUGGGUCUGUAUUAACGUGUGUUGUUAUUGAAUUCCGUAUUUAUUAUUUACACAUCUAAAUUCAUUUAUAUAUUUGCAUGUUUAAUUUUUAAUUUUGUUGGUGAUUAGAAAAAUUUAUGGAAUUAUAAAAAAUAAAAUUAUAUCCAUGAAGUUGAGUAUUUUUUAUUAAUUAUUAAGUAAUUAGUUAUUUAUUCACUAAAUUAAAUUAAUGGUGAAAAUUAAAACAUUUUAAGUCUAAUGGUCUAUAAUGACUCAUUAAUACUGUAAAAAUUUAUAUAAUGUUAUAGAGAAAUCCAAAUAAUAAAACAAAGAUGUUUUCUAAGACAAAUAUAUAAACUUUUAAAAUAAGAGUGGCCACUUCUUUUCAAAGAACAAGGCUUUAGAAUAUUUUAAUAUAGGCAGGGAUAUUUUCACCCUCCUAUUUAUUUGAACCCAUGCACCAUAUUUUAAAAAAUAUUUACAGUAACUUCACAUUAUUUUUAAUAAAUAUGAAUCAAGGAAAAAAUUUAUAUAAUUAAUCGAUUAAAUCCUUCUUAUAAUUUUUUUGUACUUAGGUUUCUUUAACGAUGUUUGACUAUUAGAGUUACCUUAACAUAAAUUUUACUUGAUUAUUUUAUCCUUGUGACAUAUUCCUAAUAAAUAUAUGUUAUUGUACUUGAUAGUUAUGUAUUUAAUUUUGUGACCUAUAAACUAACUCUUUUAAAUAAAAUCUAAUGAUUUUCAUUACCUUAGUUGUAAAUGAAAUAAAUUUGACAAUUUAAUAAUUUAUAUGAGUAUUGUAGCAUAAAAAUAUUAUGUCUUAAGUUAAAGAUUUAUAGACACCAUUUAGAAAUAAUGAAUUUUGUGUAAAUAAAAAAUGGUGAAGUUAAAUAAAAUUUUAGUACUUUUUACCUCAUAAGAAUAAAAUAGUUAAUUUACGUUUAGGCUAAAGCAAUAGUAGUCAACUAUAAUAAAAAAAUCUAAGUCACAAAAAAUGAAUUAUGAUAUAUUUAAUUAAUUGAUUCUGUAAAAUUCUUCUUUAUCUAAAAAAAAAUUUAAAUAAUGUGAAUUUUUUACAAUUAUUUUUAAAAAUGGGGUGGGUUUACAAAAAUUUUGAAUGAAAAUAACACCACCAUUUCAUUAUAGGGAAAAGCCACGAACACCCCACGCAUAGCCCUUGGUAUCUGGAAUGUACGCGGACAUCUCUUCCGUUAGAUUGGAUGGGUUAAAAGAUAUUUUGGUAAUUUUGCUUUGUGCUGUUGACUUAUGAUUUAGACUUGUCAAUUAGUGUGACGCGUUGGAUUUACUAUUACCGAUCAGCACCACUUGUCAAAAAUUAAGUGGACAACAAAAAAAUGAUCAAACAAAGCCCACGCCUUUGGCUUUUGGAUUUGCUCUGAGAUCACAGGAUUCACUUUUAACUUUCCUCUUCUACCCACUUUAACAAAAACACAAAAACUUAACUAUGCCUUUUGGUUUUGUAUACGUAGCAAACUAAGUGAAAGUGUGGUACCACAUUUUCACCUGACCUAACACGAAACAAUCUAAAUACGACACGAACUCUAUAGGCACCUCAAUAAAAAGGGCUCUUGCCCACAAGAUAAAACAUUCUAUUCCCAAACAAAAAAGAAAAGACUAGAGAUCUUCUUUUCCCUUAAACUCUUUUAAGAUGUUAUUGACGAGAUUCUCGAUUUCUAAUUUAAGCAUCAAAGGGUCUUUCUUAGUAUCAACCUUGGCACCCCUACUGUAUUUGUUUUCUUAUUUGUAGAUUGAAACUAUUGCAAAAUCAAAUGCGAUGGCAACAUGGAUGGCUUGAAAUUCAAAUUCGAUGGCACAAAUAUUUUAACAAGUCGAAGCCAUGCAUGCAUGAUGAUUUCAGUGCCGAUUUUAAAGACUUUGGCUGCCAAUUCUUUGAAGACUUUUAAUUGCAUUAAAUAAUGAAGCUCCACUAUAAAUAGAAAAGAAAAUCUCAUUUGUUGUGCAUCCAAAAAUUGUGAGAUCUAAGAUCAUUGCAAAUAAGCUCUUCAAGAGUGUAGAAAGAGAUUUUCCUUAGGUGCUAAGGGGAUCCAUUUUGGUGUAUUAGGUGCUAGGUUUUCAGAGUAGUUCUUAAAUUUUGUAAAUUGUCAUUUGUUAGUAAAAUUAUCUUCUAAUAUUUGCCUGUGAACAUAGGUUUUAAGUCGAACCACAUAAAUUAUUAUGCCUUAUUUUCUUUGUAUCACCACAUUUAUAUUUUUUCAGAAGUCACAGUUACCAUAAUACUGGUAAUUGUUCAAUCUGUGCUUUCGCAACAAGUGGUAUUAGAGCAUAUGGUUCGUGCUUGGGGUAUACGGCACUGUUCACGAAUAUAGUGGAGUCAACAGUUCAAACUUGGGAGUAUCAAGAGCCUACAGUGUAGUUGUGUGGAUAAAUGCAUGUACAGAAAAAUUUUGUUAAUAAGACGAUAAAAGUCUAAGGAGUUUGGAUUUUAAAUUGAGACCGUUGUGACCCAUUUAUUCUCUUGGAAACUUUUCUGGUGCAUUAUCUAUACAAGUAGACGCGGAAACAUUUUUGUUCGAGUUAAAUAAUUAAAAAAAAAGAUGGGAGAGGCGUCAUUGUCACUUUCCUCAACAAGGACUACUAUGUCAAAUGCGAAAUUUGAAGUAAAGAAAUUUUUCGGUACUAAUAAUUUUAGUAUGUGGCAAUGUGAGGUGUUGAAUGUCUUAUGUCAGUAAGAGUUGGACCUUGCCCUUGAAAAAAAGCUUGGAAAAAUGGAUGACAAGGAGUGGAUAAAUAUCAAUAAAUAGGCAUGUGGUAUUAUUCGUCUGUGUCUGGCUAAAGAUCAAAAAUACUUUGUCAUGCGGGGGACUUUAGUGAAGAAAUUCUAAAAGACACUAAAGAAAAGUACAUGAAGAAACGUCUUGAAAAUAAGCUUUGUAUGAUAAAAAAAAAAAAAACUCUAUUGAUUCACGUAUGCACCUAGCAUGUCGAUGAAUGACCAUGUAAACUUAUUCAACAAGAUAUGAGUGGAUUUGCUAAAUUUGGAUGAGAAAUUUAAAGAUGAAGAUAAGGCAUUAUUAUUGUUGAAUUCCCUUCCUGACGAAUAUGAUUAUCUCACCACCACUUUACUUCAUGGGAAAGACAGUGUCAUAUAUGUAAUGUAUUGUAUAACUCUGGAGAAAGAAAAACAAAAAAGAUCACAAAAAUACAAUUGCAGAAGUAUUUUCAGUAAGAGGUCAUUCACAAAGUCGUAAACCUGAAAAAAAAAAAAAAAAAAGCAUGCCUAAAGAGAGGCCUACUAAAGACGAAUGUGCUUUAUGUCGCAGAAAAGGGUAUUGGAAAAAAAAUUAUCCUAAAUUACAAAAGGACAAGGCUAUUUCUAGUGCAUGUAUAGCAAAGCAUAAUGAUGAGUCAAACUUUAGUUUAGUUGGCAUAACGUUAAUAUGUCACUCAUAUGAGUGGAUUUUAGAUUUGAGUUAUACUUAUCUUAUAUGUUCUAACAGGGCUAGUUUUCUACCUUCAAUGAGCUAAAUAGUGGAGUUAUUUUUAUGGGCAGCGAUAAUGCAUGUAAAACCAUGAGAAUAGGUUCAAUCUAAUUGAAAAGUUAUGACGGCUCAAAGCAACUCUUGACAAAUGUUCUUUACGUACCAAGUUUGAAAAAAAAAAUCUCAUCUCAUUACGAAUCUUAGAAUCCAAAGGACUUACAAUCACUCUAAGAGAUGGAUUCUUGAAGGUAGUAACUAGUGCACUAACAAUGAUGAAAGGCACAAGAAAAAAUAGCUUGUACUAUUUCUAAGGGAAUACAGUUAUUGGAUCAGCAUUAACCGUUUCUGGAAAAGAUGCAGAUUCUUGCAGACUUUGUUGAACCAAGGCUUAUUAAAAUGUACAAAUUCUUGCAAAAUAGAAUUUUGUGAACAUUGUGUUCUAGGCAAGCAGACAAAGGUAAAGUUUGGUUCACCAAUUCACAAUACAAAAAGGAUUUUGGACUAUGUUCACAAUGAUAUGUGAGAACCUACCAAAACAGUUUCUUUGAGAGGUAUGCACUAUUUUGUUACUUUUCUUUAUGAUUAUUCAAGAAAAGUGUGGGUGUAUUUGAUGAAGAACAAAAAUAAGUUUAGGUACAUCUAAAAUGGAAGAAGAUGGGCGAGACUCAGACUGGUCAAAGGUCAAAAGAUUUCAUUCAGACAAUAGUGGUGAGUACGAGAAUUAUUUGUUUAUACAAUAUGUCGAGAUGAGGGCAUUGUACGACACUUCAUUGUUCGAGAUACACCACAACAAAAUGGGGUGGUAGAACACAUGAAUCGAACUAUAUUGGAGAAAGGUCGAUAUAUGUUGUCCAAUACAGGAUUGGGCAAGGAGUUUUGCGCUGAGGCAGUUACAUAUGCGUGCCAUCUGAUCAACCAUUUGCCAUCAGCUGCAAUUGAUUAUGAUUCUUUACAUGUUUUUGGUUCAACUGCUUAUUAUCAUGUAAAAAAAUCUAAGUUACACAUAAGAGAAAAGAAAACAAUGUUCAUAGGUAUAACUAGUAAAGUAAAAGGAUAUCGUCUCGAGUGUCCCAUUACAAAGAAGAUUGUUUGCAGUAGAGAUAUAACUUUUGAUAAUUCAGCCAUAUUGAAACGAAAAGAUUCACAAAAGGAUGACAAAACUAGUGGUACUUCGCAGCAAGUGAAGUUUGAAAAGGUUAAAGAUGAUAUAUCUGGUGUUGAGGAGAUGGAUAGUAAUUCUCUAUCGACCGAGCAUGAAGAAGAGGUUUUGACCCAGGAACCUUCACCGCAAUAAGAUUUAAUUGCAUAUAGCAGGCUAUAAAAAAAUAUUCGUAGACCUACGCGCUUUAUUGAUAUGAAAUGUUGUGCACUUCCAGUUGUAGAUGAUGAUGUUCCUUCUACUUAUAGAGAAACAGUAAGUAACAUUGAAAGUGUACAGUGGAAACUAGUAAUAAAUGAAGAAAUAUAGUCUCUUUAUAAAAUAGAACUUGGAAGUUAGUUACACUACCUAAGCAAAAGAAGGUAAUACGGUGCAAAUGGAUAUAUGCAAAAAAAGAAGGAUUUCCUAAUAAGAAUAAAAUUCGAUACAAUGCUAGAUUGAUAAUGAAGGUUUACGCUCAGAAUGAAGGAAUAGACUACAAUGAGAUGUUUUCUCCAGCUAUGAAACAUUUGUCUAUUCGAAUUUUGCUAGCUAGUUGCGUAAUUUUCUCUUGAAUUAGUUCAACUUGAUGUGAAAACCGCAUUGUUAUAUGAUGAUUUGGAAAAGGAAAUUUACAUGACUCAGCUAGAUGGAUUAAAAGUUGCUUGAAAAGAAAAUUAGGUUUACAAGUUGACAAAGUCACUUCAUGGAUUGAAACAAUCUCCAAGGUAGUGGUACAAGCGAUUCGAUCGGUUCAUGAAAAAGUGCACAAGAAAUAAAUUUAUAUCAUUAUGUAUAUUUUUGCAAGCUACAAGAGGGAUGCUUCACAUAUUUGCUCUUGUAUGUUGAUGAUAAGUUAAUAGCAUCUAAGAGCAAAGAUGAGAUUGAGAAGUUGAAGACGCAACUCAAUCAAGAGUUUGAGAUGAAAGAUCUAAGUGAAGUUAAGAAGAUUAUUCGCAUAGAGAUAUGCAGAGAUAAAGCUCGUGGCAUAGUCGGCUUAUCUUAUAAACAAUAUUUAAAGAAAUUACUACAAUAAUUUGGCAUAAUGAGUAGAAAAAAUUGUGAUUACCCUAUUGGCUUCUCAUUUCAAACUUUCUAUAUAAUUAUCUCCUUCGACAGAUGCAGAAUGAGGAUACAUGUUGCAAGUUCCUUUUCAAAUGCAGUUGGUAGCUUGAUGCAUGCAAUAGUGUGUACAAGGUAUGACAUUUCACAAGCAGUUAGUAUAGUGAGCAGGUAUAUGCAUAAUCCUAGCAAAGGACAUUAGCAAGCUGUAAAAUGGAUUUGACAGUACAUUCAGAAAACCUCGGAUAUUGGUUUACUGUUUAAGCAGGAUAAUACACUUGGUCAAAGUGUGAUUGGAUACUUUGAUUCUGAUUAUGCUGGUGAUUUGGACAAAUGACGGUCAACCACCGGCUAUGUAUUUACUUUUUCCGGAGGGCCAAUCAGUUGGAAGUCCACACUAUAGUCUAUAGUUGCAUUGUCAACCACAAAAGCUGAGUACAUGGCAAUUAAAAAGGCUAUUAAAGAGGCUAUUCGGUUACAAGACUUACUUAAAAACUUAAGAUUGGUCCAAGAACAUGUUAACAUGUAUUACGAUAGUCAAAAUGCUAUUUACUUGGUAAAGAACUAAGUUUAUCGUGCACAUACAAAGCAUAUCGAUGAAUGAUUUCACUUUGUAUGGAAAUUAUUGAUGAGGGAAAGAUUCUUCUUUAGAAAAUUAAAACUGCAGGGAAUCAUGCAGAUAUGUUGACUAAGGUGGUGAUAGCUAUCAAGUUUGAGAAUUGUCUAAAUUUGAUCAAUAUCCUACAAGUUUGAAAUUAUUAAGAAACCAGAGAUUGGAGGAUAAUUUAAUAUAUGGAGAGUUUUGUAAUCAGUUUAGAUUUGGACAAAUCUUCGCCAAGGUGGAGAAUUGUUGUAAAGUUAAAUUCGAUUGCAACAUGGAUUGCUUUUCAAACAUGGAUGGCUUGAAAUUCAAAUUAUGUGGCAUAAAUAUUUUGACAAGUUGAAGCCAUGCAUGCGUGAAGAUUUCAAUGCCGAUUUUUUAAGGACUUUGGUUGCCAAUUCUUUGAAGACUUUUAAGUGCAUUAAAUAGUGAAGCUCCACUAUAAAUACAGAAAAAAAAAAUAUUAUUUAUUAUGCAUCCAAAAAUUGUGAGAUCUAAAAGCAUUGCAAGUGAGUUCUUUAAGAGUAUCCAUUUGGGUGUAUUGGGUAUUGGGUUUUGAGAGUAGUUGCCAAAUUUUGUAAAUUUUCAUUUGUUAGUAAAAUUAUCUUCUAGCUUUUUGCUCGUGGAUGUAGGUUUUAAGCCCAACCACGUAAAUUAUUUUGUCCUAUUUUCUUUGUAUCACCACAUUUGCAUUUCUCUAGAAAUCACAGUCACCAUAAUAUUGGUAAUUGCUCAACCCGCUCUUCCACAACAGAAACAUCUAAAUACCAAAGUCACGCAGCGCUGCGAUGAUGAGUUUUCACAAUUUGAACCUUUUAAAUCUUGACCACAUUGUUGAGCGAAAUUUUGGUGUCAAUAGUUGGCGCCGUCUCUAGAGAUCUUAGAACAACAAGUCAUUUUACUAUGACUCUUGAAAUUCUCCCAGACAACCACUUAAAGGACUCAACGGCAUUAUUUUCCUUCAUAAUCCUGAAGACGUUGACACAAUCUGCCCUAGAGACAAGAUGCAUCGAGACCAAGCCAAUCAAAAUGAGCCAAUUCCUCAACCUGAGGAUACUUGUCACUAGCAUGAAUAGUUCGAGUGUGACCUUAUUGAUAAAUGUCAAGGUCAAGAAGCUCUCUCUGGGAUCAUUUGGAUUCUUUAUUUUCAAUAAAGAAGAGUUAGAAGCUUUUUGUCGGAUCAUCAUUAGUGCUAGUUUGUGUUAAGUUUAUUGCUAUGUUCUUUUUCAUGCUCUUUUUGCGUUGGAUUUGUUUCUUUAAAUCAACUUUUGGGCUACUGUGUAUGGACGAUUGCUUUUCAAAUAACUUUAUUUGAUUGGCCACCUAAGUUCAAAUUUAAAGGAGGUAGGGGCUAAAAAAAUUGAUUUAGAUAAUUGGACUUUCCCCACCCCUCACCCUUUUUGUUGUUUUGGGGGAGGCUGGGGAAACAUAAACCUCUAGGCUAGGGUGUGAGCUUUGAGUAAACUUUUUUGAUGACAUGAGACUAUUGCUCAAAUUACAACUCAUAUUGCAUGAGAGUAUAACUGAUAUGUACAAUCAUAUAUAUAUAUAUAUACUGAGACCUGUUGACAUUAAUGCUGAUAUGGCACCGCUCAAAUUUUUAACCCUCUCAAAUAUUCGAGGGACGUCAACUCCCAGCCUGGGAGAAAGACUGUCUUCACUCAAGCUCUAGGGCUCCAAGGAAGGACAUUUAAAUUAAACCCCUGCAAUGCGUCUGCGGAGGCUCGAACCACUUCCCUCACAUUUGUGAGGGAGUGGGUCUAGCCACUUGGGCUUAGUGGUUGAGCUUUGAGCAAACUUGGAUAGGGUUUUGUCAAUUAGUAAUUCAUCAAUAUCUUGAGAUUAGAUAAGAUUAGAUAACCUUUAGAGUUUGUAAUAAAUCUAGCAAAAAUGAUAUUCACCCCACCGUUAAACACCACUUGAACUCUAUCUAGACCAAGUUCUUACAUUUUUUUUAUAAAAAAAAAUAUUUUUUUUAUAUGGGUGGAAAGAGCGGUUUAGCAAUGGGGUGAGUAUAUUAAUCUAAAUUAAAUUUAAAAAACCCGAGAAAAUAUGGUAGCGGCAAUGAAAGAAAAAAUUAAAGUAGGUGUUUUAAUAUUAUUAAACGAAAUUUUCUAUUUAUAUUGUUUUUUAGAAAGUAAAUGGAUGACCAAACUCUAAAUCUAUUUUUUCACUUUUUGCCUCCCAUAAUUUUAAUUCAGAUGCUAAUUAAAUAAAAUUGAUUGACAAUUUUAAUUCAGAUGUUAAGUAAAUAGAAUUGAUUGAAAACCUGACUAUGUUAUUAAAUGUACGAAUCUCAUUAAGUGCCCACCUUACUUCAUUACGAGAACAAUAAUCUGCACCUUCAUGAUACGGUCUAAAACAAUGUCAUAAUUUAUAGGACCUCAUAUAAGUCUUUCUUUAAAGGCUAGUCUUUGAAAAAGAAAAGAAAUAUUAAAUAUUGUCUAUGCAUAGGGCUAAGUUGCCUAUAGAAGAAAUGAAUCUCUUCACGUUGAAGAAAUUAAAUUAUUAUCGAAAGUGGAACGACACUACUAAUUAAUUAAGUGGCAAUAUUUGACCCUUUUUCCAUAAAUAAAUAUUUUAAAUUGCUUUAAAAGAAUAAAAAAGGUUAUAUAGAGUGAAUUUUUUAAGCAGAGAAGCAACAAAGCAAUCGCCAUGUCUUUAAAAUGAAACUAGUCGCACGUUAUGAAGAAAACAAAUGUGUUAAUAAUAUAAAAUAAUUAAAAGAAAGAAAUUCGAUGUCGCUACUAAAGUCUAAAGAAAUGCUUGUGCUCGUCUGCAAGUAGAUUCAUUUCCAUUGCAAGGCCGACCAGAGAAAAAUUUCAGAGUCUCAUUGAUUCCGAAUAUUUUUAUUCUUUCGAUUAAAUAUUGUACACCUGUAAUGGCAACAAUAUACUGAAAACAUGUGUAUAAUGAAGGUAUUGCACUGAGAUACCUAAGGAACCCUCAGAUUGUAAAGUAGUGCGGUGCCGUUUGUCCAACUUUUUUGUGCCAAGCCAAGAAUAAUUGCAUGCUCAGAUUGAUGACAAAGCUUUUUAAGUAAAUUAUUUAUGAAAAUGAUGGUGAACUGAUUUGACAUUGCAGCGAAAGCAAACAAGAGGCCAGGAGAUCGAUUUUUCCUUUCCCCAACCUUGAGGAGAAAUUUUUUUGCUUGGAAUUUUGCAUGGAUUUGCUUCGGAUUUGGUUGGGGUGCGUAACUGUGUAGGGGAUUACUAUGUUCAUUGUUUGACCCCUUCUAAUUAAUAUUUUUAUGCUAUAACCCUCUCAAGUUUGAUGGAUUAUAUUAUGGGCCCCCAUUUAAGGUUUUUUUUUCAUUUUUUUCAUUUAAGUGUUAAAUUAAAAAUCACGGUUCUGUGUGGAUACCAGUACUAUUGUCCAAUAUUUUAUAGAAGACAAUGUUUAAUAUACUAUAUAAUGGAAAACUUGACAAUAACAUUUCUAUAAUUUAAUAAAAUGAUCACGGAGAUGUCCUUCUUUUAAAAAAUGAUCACACAGAUUCUUUCCGCAACAUUCAAAUCUUCUUUUUAAACAAACAUUAGAAGUUUUGUCUUCACUAUUUCUUAGCACAAAAUGAGUUUGUGAGUAUCAAAAAAAUUGUGUGACUAUUUUUAAAAUAAAGAACUCUCCGAAAGAAGAAUGACCAUUUUAACAAAUCAUUUGGUGUCAAUGUUCUUUUUCUUUAUGCAAUCUCGAAAAUAGUAGGAACAAAAAACUAAAGAGGAAAAAAGAAAACCGAUACAAAAACACAUGAUAUCCCCAAGUUAUAAAACUAGGAGAACGUGGAUGACUGUUUUAGUUCUGUGGAACUAAAAAAUUGAAGUGUUACUUUAAAAGGUUGUGCUGUCAGAAAUGAUAUGAUGCAAACCAAAUCUUUGCUUGGCUGCUUGGUUAACAAUAUUAUAAUCCGUUUGCAGAAAUCGAUGCAGAUGGAGAUGGACAACUUGUUUGAAUCUGCCAUGAGAGGCCACUGGGAUCACAUUGUGCAGGCUUAUGAGAGUAAUCCCAUGUCUCAAGAGGCCAAAAUCACAAAAUCAGAAGAUACAGCUCUGCAUGUUGCUGCUGCAUCUGGGCAUAGCGACGUCGUAUGCAGACUGGUGGAAACCAUGGGAGAAAAUGCAUCAAACAUUCUGAAAAUACAAAAUAAUCGAGGCAACACUGCUCUUCAUCUUGCUGCAGCACUUGGGAACGUAGAAAUGUGCCGUUGCAUGGCAUCAAAAGACCCCAAACUUGUCGGUGCUAGAAACAAAGAUAGCGAGACUCCUCUGUUCUUGGCAGCUCUUCAUGGCAAGAAGGCUGCAUUUCUUUGCCUCCACUUUCUCAGCCAUGAUAAAGACAGUUCUUUGGGCAGAAAGAGUAAUGGGGACACUAUUCUUCACGCUGCCAUAUCCGGAGAUUACUUUAGUAAGUAACCCAUUUUCCAUUAUGCUAUUGUUUGUCAAAUUCUGGGAAAAUUUUAAAUGUUGAUGAUUUGUUAGUUUUACAGGCUUGGCAUUUCAUAUUAUACGCUGUUACCCUGAUCUUGUAAACUGUGUGAAUGAGAAUGGACUAUCUCCUCU